GCAAGUUUGGUUACAAAGAAUCGAUGUAUAAGUUAGGACAAGUUUGGUUACAACGAAUCCAUGUAAUAGAUUUUUAAAAAAAAAAUAUAUCCAUGGAAUAGAACAGAGGGGUCGAUGAAGAGAAUGCAUGAUUAUGUAUUUGUGAUAGUGUAGUUGCUUCCAGUACACUAAGAUUCGAAUUUCGUUUAAAAACAAUGGGAUACCUCUUUAUAUAAAACAUAAAAAUGGGAUUACACGAAGAUUGGAAAGAAAAUGCAUUGUGUUUAAGUAUCACAAAACAGAAUCCAAGUCAUGUGUCAGGGGACGAAUGUUCUUCACUGUCCAAUAGUAAUCUUCCAACUCGUAAAGCUUCCUGAAACAUCAACAAACAACAUUAGACUUCAAAACUGAAUCAAAUUGGUCUAAGACUCGAGCCACUACGGUGGACUAUAGUUUCGAUUCCGUUAUAUGAUUCGUUCUGUAGUAAAAACCAAUAAACACACAAGUUAAAGUAAGAGGUUAGCUUACGCUAUAUCUGCCAAAGUGUCUGCUUUGUUGAGAGACUUUCCUUCUGCUAAUUCAAGACAAGAAUGAUGCGCUAUCAUCUCCUUUAUCGUGUAUUUUGUGCUCUUAACAUCGUUAUUCCACAAGAUGCUCUGCAACAAAACACCCACAAAUCAGAAAAAAUUUAAGUUAUACCCUUAAGAGACAUCUGCUAACCUUUCUAAUGUAUUUAUUUUUCACAUCUUCCCAGUGUGACUUCCCUUUGGGAGAGAAAAUUGAAGCAUUCCACAUAGCCCCUCUUGCAACCAUCACCGAUGCAGCGCCUUUGCAAGGAACACCAAAAAAACAAGGUUAUAUAACUCAGAGGUGAAUCAAGUAAGACCAUUAGAUUCAAUAAGUCUUAUCAUAUGUACCUGUAGCAGUUUUAAUGCGAGAGAAAUCAUCGUAUUCUAAAACAUCUCCAUUUGCAAUAACGGGAAUGGACAAUGCGGCAACUACAUCUGCUAUCUCGUCCCAUUUAGCAGGAUCUCUUGGCCUGUCUGCAACUUUCCUAUAUUCAUGUAAGGAGAAGCCAGUUACCAAUUUUUUUUUUGGUAUAUAAAGAAGCAGAUAAAAGGAGUGAGAACUAACAACUCACAAUGGUGUAUGUAUGUAUUAUUACCUCCCAUGUACAGCAAGAGCUGGUACACCAAGUUUCUCGAUUCUCCUAGCCAAUUCAACAGUAUCCGCUGGUGAUUUUAAUAGACGAAUCUUGCAAGUAACAGGUACGUCUAAGUUCCUCUUAAGUGUAGCUAGAAUCUGUGGGAUGGAGAAGAAUUCAGAAACUGAUCAGUCAGAUACAAAGGCAUAUAUAUAUAUAUAUAUAUAUAUAUAUAUGAAAAAGAGAAUUGAGAGAGGCAAGCAAUACAUCAUGAAUGAGCUCGGGUUUACUUAACAGAGCAGCACCCAUUCCUCCUUGAAUAGAGAAAGCCUUGGGGCAACCCAUGUUAAUAUCAACAGCUGCAACAUCAUUGCACCUAAGAAAAUGAUGAAACAACAAAAACAGUUAUUACUUCAAAAUUCGUACAAAAAGAUAUGAACUUUUGGUGGAGAAUAUGACUCUAAAACAUACACAAUCUCAGCAGCUUUGAGAGCCCUAACAGCAUCAGAAGUUCCCAUUUGAAAAACAACUCUUUCUCUUUCUUCAUCACAUGUGCUAAAGACGACAUUCUCUGUCCCUUUCUCCACAAACUCUGUUGUCCCGGAAGCAACUGCAGAGGGACAAUAAGAAUCUGAGAAUCAGGUGAUUCAUGAAGAUAAGCAGGGACACACUAAAGAGAAACCUAAUUAAUGUCUAUCCAAACUAAUAUUCCCUCUGUUUCAUUAUAAGUGUUGUUUUAGUUUUCGGCACACGGAUUAAAGAAACAAUUAAUUUUGUACAUUUCCUAUAAAAAACACUAUUACCUAUAUACCUAACCAUAUUUCAAUCAAUAGACAAAUAAAUUUUGCAUAAAAUUAAUAAUUUUGCAUAAAAUUAAUAAAUUUUGCAUUAAAAAUCGAAAACAAUAUUUAUUUUAUUUUAUAACGAAAAAAAUUCUCUAAAACUACCCUUAAUAUGAAACAGAGAGAGUAUAGUUUCGAAUUCAUCUUUGCUUAGUUCUAAACGAAUAAACACGGUAGCUGAAUCAAUCUCGCUCUCUCUAUCCAGUGAGCAUAUACGGUACCAGGCAAGCUAUGAGAGAAUCUAGAAACCAUAUGAAUCAAAUUCAAAUUCACAAUUCAUGGAUACCAAUACUUACCGUUGAUUCGGCGUUGGCAUUUAACAAGCUUAUGAUCGAUAAUCUCUUCUCCGUAUGUAAUGUCGGCGCCGUACUCAGCCGCCAACAUUCGGAAAGAGAGCGUUCCCUAACAACAACAACAACAACACCUCUCUGAGUCUGAGAGAUAAUAAGCAGCAAGAGCAAAGGUCUGGGAGCUAGUUUGAGGCUUUUGGACUUACCACACGGACCAUGGGAGCAAGAACAAGCUUGUUCCGGUAAUCCAUCUUCUUCUUCUUCGUGGCAACGUCGUCACACGCAGCCACGAAGAUACCCCAAGAUCUGCGCAGAGUUUGAUUUUGCCUUCAUAAGUUUUGUGUUUAUAUUGGGCCCUAAAUAGGCCUAUUAUAAUUGCUUGUGUCAUUAGGCCUCAUUAUAAGUAGGGUGGUUAAUUUAGAGACCAAGCUUCUCAUCUUUGUUCGAUUUUCCUCAGUUAUUCAGUUUAUAAAAAUUCAUCUUUAAUAAUAACUUAUAAAAAUUCAUCUUUAUAUUAAACUUAUACUCCAUCCCUUUCAAAAAAUACAUAUUUUACACUUUUCGCACGUAUUAAAAAAAACACAUUAUUGUUUUUUUUUGUAAAUAACAGUUUUCCAUAACUUUUAGUCAAUAGAAAUGCAAUAAAUACCAUUAGCUUUUUUAAAAUUUACAAUUUUUCGUUAAAUAAUACAUUGAAAAGAUAAAAAAUGUAUUUUUUUGAAACCAUUUUUUUUCUAAAAUGUGGAUCUUUAUGAAACAGAGUGAGUAUCUAUUAUGGUUUGGGGUUGUUUGAAUAUCUUUGGUAUUCAGUUUAUUCUGUUUUAACCAAAACUCAUCUACAUUUAGUUAUUAUAAAAUUUAUGAAUUUUAUUUUAUAUGAUUAGAAUUUAGUAAAAAAAAUAAGUUGUCAGCACAUAAAAAAUAUUUUAAUCAAAAUUUAUGACACAGAAGUAAAUCAAACUAACUAUUUACUAUAAAAAAAAUUAAAAAGUAAAGAAAUUUUGAUAUCCAAAUUAUAUCAAUAAACAUAUAUUAUCAUUACAAAAAUAGCACUCAAAAACUAAAAUGACCAAAAUAGCACCUUUCUAAGUUUAUCCUUUGAAAAUUUUAAUUUUUUUAUUUUUCAAAAUUUGAAAUCUUAUCCCCAAAACCUCAUUUCUCAACUCUAAACCCUAAACCCUAAAUUCUAAACCCUAAACCCUAAACCCUAAACCCUAAACUCUAAACCCUAAUCCCUAAACUCUAAACCCUAAACCCUAAAAUCUAAACCCUAAACCCUAAACUCUAAACCCUAAACCCUAAACACUAAAUCCUAAACCCCACCCUUUAACUCUAAACCCUAAGUUUGUGACUUUUGAUAAAACAUUAAGUACUAUUUUUGUGACUUUUGACCUUGAGUGCUAGUUUGGGAACAAAAACUUGAUUUAGUGCUAUUUUUAUCUUUUUCUCUUUAUAUUAUAUAGUGUAUAAAUAACUCUAUGUUAUUUUGUUUUAAUCAUUCGAUUUUAUCGGUUUGACAACUAUAUAUUUCGGUUUUUAAUAAUUAAAAGAUAUAAUUUUUUUGUGCACCAUAUAAUUAACAGAUAUACUAAAAUCAAAUUAUAGUUAUUUUUCUAUUUCAGUUAGGUAAACGUAGUUAUAUUUGGUUUUACUAGAUUGAACUGGUCUUCUAAAAUGUAAACGACUGAUACAUUCGCUUCUUUCCUUGUUUAUGAAUGGGAAACAAAAUAUCAAACAAAAUUAACUGAAUAAGUGUGUACUAGUAGAUACAUUUCCAUGCUCUGUUCAAAAUCUCGUCUUCUACAAACGGACGCAAUGACCACAUCAUAGUGUAAGUAUCUAGUUCAUCAAAUGAUGUCUUCAAACUAAGCGAUCUCACAAUCUUUUCCUGCAAAAUAGUAUCCGUCGCUCUUCAGUAACAUUUUUGAAAGUUUAAAGAUCAAGCAUUCAGAUUAUCUAAAUGUUCAAACUCUCACACACCUGCAUAACAUAGUUCUGCUUCACCAUACUGUAAACAACUGCAAUAACUGUAGCGUACUCUGUAACUUCAGGUUCUUGAAGAAAAUGUACAGUCUCAUUCUCCUGAAACCAAACAACAUUACUCUUCUCUGUAACCAUUUUUCAGAGAUAUACAAGUUAGUUUCUUCGAGAAACAAGUUUAUGUUGAAAUCUUACCUCAUCACUCGUUACAUGUCGUAACUCAUCACCUGAUUCUACAUCUAGCUGUGUUGUUGUUGCAGUCUCAAUUGCCUCAUCGGUGAGACGCUCAAGCUCAGAUAACAGGCUUUGAGCUGCAAUUCCCACAUCUUAAAGAUUAGAAACAUUAACCAAUGGGAAAACAAGCAACCUGGUGUGAUAAACAGUAAAUACAUCACUACCUUUGAUCAGAUGGUCAGAAAGUCCUGAUAGGGAUUUAUGCACUUCUUAUUCCGGUAGUUUUGGUGAACAAAAAACGGAGAAAUGUGUACGCAGAAUGUUUAUAAAAAUGAAAGUUUUUAACAUAACAAACUUUGAGAGUGAGAUUAAAAGAGUUGAUCACUUACAAGCCUUUGUGCUUUUUGCAGCAUCAUCGAUGAUAAUAGAGCCGGAUUCUAUAUACGAUUUUAGCCGUCUUGUUUCAUUGUUCUUGAUAAGGUUCUUGAUCAAAGUGGACGAAGUGACCAUUGGCGAGCGUUUGAGCAAGGCUGGGGAUAAGAAAGUGUCAGUGAGCGAGAGAAGGAUGGUAAAACUGAAGACAAUACCCCUGUUCGUUUAUCAAACUCCGCGUCUAGCGUCCGCGUCUCUUUUUAGCUCUAUAUUUUCGUUGCUUUAAAAGCAAGAUUGCAGAGAAACCAUUGAAACGAUAUUAAUUAUAAGAGACGCAGCGUUAAAUUUAGGAUGUUAACUGAUCGCUAAAAAUUCUAGCGGCAGUUACGAUAAUCGGCGACGACUAUUUUUACGGUUACGGCUUGAUUCAGCGUUGACGCUAGAUUCUUGAGGACGAAGUAUUCGGAGCCGCUGGCGCUAGAUUCAGCGUCUAUCAAAAGAACAGAGCUAAUACAAAGUGAGAAACGUACAGAGUCCUUGCUGAAACCGAAGAAGAAAAGUGUUUGCAGCAUUCCCUAGUUCCUCAAGUUUUGUGAUCCUACAAUCAUUGCAGUAACAGAGAUUCGGAGAGAGUUAAACACAACACACAAGGACAUAAAUGUAGGAGAGAAUCAAUCAAUCGAAAUAAAAUUACCCUGUCAUAAACUCUUUGAAAAUAUCGUAAACUUUAAGCUUCAGUUCGCUUCUCGCUUCCAUCUCUUUGUCUUUAAAACUACAAGACAUAUGUAGACUGCUAUGAGCUAAACAGGAGGAGCUUCGACAAUCUCAACACGGAGAUGAUCUACUUCGACAAACAAAUCGGAACUAACACAACGUUUCUGAGCUAAUCGCAACCAAAAUAGCAGACUUCUGAGAACCAAUCGACAAAGACAAGAGAAGUAGCACAUUUAUUUAACCUCUAAUCUGAUCCCCGAUUCAACCGAAAUAACAAAAAGCUCAAGCUUCUUCGUCUUCCUCAACUCUUCUUCUUCUUCCUCUCCGCUGCGAUUUUUUCUUUUUAUUUUAUCUCUCUCUCUCUCUCUCUUUUUUAUUUUUAAUAAUUCUCCCUCAUCGUUGAACAAAAAAAGAAAUUCAAAUAAACCCCAAUAGUAUUAUUAAUUUCCAAAUACACCCGACAAGUUGUUAGAAAACCCAAAAAAAAAACACUGUUCGUCUCUUUCCUUGGUCAUAUAGCUCCCUUUCCUACCCAAAACCAUAAUUAAUCCAAACUCAAUCCACAGAUUUUGAAAAUCACCUGUUUCUAUCACCCAUGGCUGAGGAAGUUCCAUCAUUCACCUCUUACAUCCCACGACCACGCCGUCUCCCCCGACGGCCGCCUCCUCGCUUCAUCAUCCUCCGACAGAACAGUCCGCACUUACUCCAACGAAGAAAGACCCCAUCGCCAAACCCCUACAAGUAUUCACCGGCCACCAAAACGGCAUCUCCGACGUCGCCUUCUCCUCAGACGCGAGGUUCAUCGCCUCACCUUCGGAUCUGGGAUGUGAAAACGGGCUAGUGCUUGAAAGUUCUUCCCGCGCAUUCCGAUCCUUCAAUCGCGACGGGUCGCUUAUCGUUUCCAGUAGCUACGAUGGGUUGUGCAGGGUGUGGGAUUCGUUAGAUUCUCUCCUAACGGCAAGUUCAUCCUCUAUAACACGCUGGUGAGUUAUAUAUCUAAGAGAGUUGAUGUUUGCUAUGUAAUCACACGUUUUGCUUGCAUCAAUAGGGUACUGGAGAAGAUGUUAGUUCUCAUGAGUUCAUGAUUCAUAAUUUAUGUAUUCUCCAAUUUUGCAGAUGUUGUGGAACAUUUCUUCUGCUAAAUUCAUUAAAACAUACACUGGCCACGCCAACUCUCAGUACUCUGCCUUCUCCAUCACUAAUGGAACGAAGAUAGUCUGUGCUGGGAGCUGAACUCCAGGAAGUUGCUUCAGAAAAACUUGAGGGGUCAUACUGAGCCUGUCUUGAGCGUGGCUUGCCACCUGACUGAGAACUUGAUCGCAUCAGGCUCGCUCGACAAGUCUUUUAGACUUUGGACACUGAAUAAAUAGUGAAACAGGGAUUUAUUGAUUCUAGCUUCGUUAUUUCAAAACCAGUCCAUGUAAACAUAGCUUCCUUAACAUGUUUGUAAUCGUCCACUGUUCCCUUUCUUAGUUUAGUCUUGUUAUAUUGAUUCUAGCUUCGUUAAGACACAAAUCUUCUUAGUUAUGGUUUGACUUUUUCAUCUCAUUGUAUUCAUCAAUCUAUUGUCAAGUGCCUUUGUAUUCCUACGAUAUUAUUGGUUUUAAAGUAUUUCAUGGUUGAGAAUUUUUCAUACGAAUUAUACUACUGAUGAAAAGCUUAUGGUCAAAGUGGAUAAUGUAUGGUAGUAGUUGAGGCGUGAUGUUGAAGAUGGUCUCCUGGUCAUGGUCAUCUGUCAUACAUAUCUUUUUAAAAAUCAUUUUUAUUGUGAAUUCCUUGUUUUACCUUCAAAUUUUGUAUUAUACACAUCAAUUAAAUUUGUUCAAAAAGAUAUAUACAUCAAUUAAAUCAGCCAGAUAACGAUUCCUUUUCGGCUUUUCACUAAUGAACAAAGAGCUCCGACGAACAAUCCAUUUUUGAAAUAUCCACUCUUUGUUGAUCCUUCUCACCCCCUAGAAAAAAUACAUAUGUUUUUGUUUCUGAAUCAAUACUAUUAAAAGAGAAAGAGUCCUAAAAAAUAUACAUAUGAAAAUUGUUUGGACUCUUUCCUCAGAUUUAAAUAUUUUUUUGGUCUUACCUUAUAUCUUUGUAACAAGUAACAAUAAAUUAGUCAAUAACAUUAUACCAUAUAUUUGCCGAUUUCUACUCCUUCCCUUUUUUGAGUUAUCAUAUAAUUGAUCAAAUAUUUCUCUAAGAUUACUUUAGUCAAUUUGCCAAUGUAUUAUACAAAAUGGUUUGGUCGACUAAAACACGAAACAAAACAAUAAUUGUAUCAGCUCUCCAAUAAAUUAUUAUGUCACCCGUCAUUUUAACAGCUUAAGUAAUGUAUUUACGGUUGAGAAAAUGCACACAUAUAAUCACAUUGUUAUCACAUUUUGAUUCAUUAUAUAAGUAGAUUUCUAAUUCCAUAUUUUCAACAUGUUAUCAUCAUACUAUAUGUGUUGAUCUGGUAUAACACAAAAUACAGUAAUUACUAUGUUUACUUUGUUUUCUAAACGAUGAUAAAAUUCUAAAUUUUUUUAGCAAAAAUAAAAACUCAAAAAAGAAAUUGAGAUCAACAGAGAUGAUUUGAAUAAACUGUAAAAAAGGUCAUGUUGGUAUGAUAUGGAACAAAUCGUAACAGAUCAUUUAACUACAAUAAUUUAAUAUAAAGCUUAAAAUCUACUAUUACCUAAUUUAUCAAAUAAUUUCUUAUAAUUUUCAGAGGAUUGAAUAUUUGAAUUUAAUUGAGAUCUUUUGAUAUGAUUUGGAUUUUAUUUAAACUAAGAUUACCGGAUCUUACCAAAUAUCUAACAACUUUGGUAAAACAUAACUCUAAUAAUAUACUUGCAUGAUCUCAUUAUUUUUCAAUAUACUGAAGCAUAAAAUAUAUGUGAAAUAUAGUCUCAUAUUCAUUAUAAAUGAAAUAGACCAAAAUAUCCACAUAUAAACUUCAAACUACCACAAAUUUUCUAAAGAUUUGCCACGGUUUAGUAUAAAAUUUAAAGAAGUUAUUGUAUCAUCAAAAUCAAACAGGCUUGGACAUUUUACCCGGACCCGAAAAUACGAGCCGGAACCUAUUCGAAAAUAUUCGAUCUGAAACCAAACCAAAAAUUUAAAGUAUUUAUUGGAUCGAAAAUUCUUCUAUCCGUAAGAACCUGAAUCAAAAAAAACCCGAAUAGACUCGACCCGAUAAAAACCAACUAAUACCUGACCUAAAAACAUAAAUAUUCAAAACUAUGAUUUUUUGUGUUCUAUUUUCUAUAUUUAUUUUAUGAUUUAGUUAAAAUAUCUUUUUACAAACAUUUUUUGUUAUUAUUUUGUAACAUUUUCAAGUAAUAUGAAGCUUAAAAUGUAGAAUCUAGAGUUUAAAAACAUCUUAUUUUAAUUAUUAAUUGUUUAUUUUAAGUUAUUUUGUAAAAUUUUAAAUAUAUAUAACAAAUUUCGACUAAAUUUUACAAGGUUUGGAUAUAUCAUGUACUUUUAAGAUCUGAAAAUACAUGAAUUCAAUCUGGAUCCGAAAAUUAAGAGUAUUGUACAUGUAUUUUAAUUAACAUCAGGAAAACUUGUGUAGUGCCCGCGAUGUAUCUUCUCAGCAGCUUCCAUAUUCUCAAUAGACACGUUGACGGCUACUGUUGCCUCAACCCCUUAAGGUUUGAAUUAACAGAUUUGUCAAGCUGAUUAACUGCUUUGUCACCAACUGUACUCUAUAUAAAAGAAAGAAAAUCAUUUUUUCAACAAUAGAAAGAAAUCACCUCUACCAUUAUGAAAGCAAUAAAGUUGAAUUUCGUUUUGGAUCUUAGUGGUUGUUCAAUCCAAUACCGCUUAAACUUUCAUGCGAAAAACAGAGAAAAUCAUCUAUUGCUUCUGUCGAUGCAUAUUGAAAUCUCAAAAACCCAAUCAUCUAUGAAGAAUGAUCGAUGAAUAUCAAACGUCUUCACAAAAUUGAAACCGAAUGAUAUAAAAAGGAGAGGACAAAGCCGAUCAUAGGUAUCCUGAAUGGACCGAGGCGGAUUAUGUAGAAGCUCAACUCCGACUCCGCUAGGCCUGGUGGGAUGUCGCCGAAAAAUUGAGCCAGUGAAGACUUUCCGGCGGUUUUUCUCGAUUUCGCCAUGGUUUUGUAUUGGUUUUUUUGGGACGUGGUCGUAGCUAAGAUCCGGCGAAGAAGUUUAUAUAAAUAGAGAAAUUAUUGGGAGUCGAAACUUUAACAUUUUCACGUUUUAAAAGAUAAUUAAAUGCUAAAGAGUGGGUGGACUUAACUACACCGUUGCGACGAUUUGCAGAGACGUUAAGAAAGAUAAAGGUGAAGCUCUUCAGUCGGUGAUAGACGAAAUCAAUUGGACAAAGACAUGGGUCAGACUGAAACUGGGCCACAGAGAAUUUUCUACUGCCCACAUGUAUCGACCCGUUUUAAUUGAAGUUGGACUCAGCAAAUGAAUGACGUGGCAAAAAAGCAAUAUCUGAUUGAUUGAUUUUUUAAACGUCAACUCAAUGGAGCUCAUAUCCCCAUUUUACUUAUUGUUUGAUAUCUUAUUUCUACUUAAUUAUUAAAGAAAUAAUAUAUACUUUCUUAAAAAAAUUAAAAUUAUUUUAUAUUUAACAUCUUAUUAUCAAAAUUAAAUUUACAUGUAUUUUUAAUUUAUGUUUUAAAUAAUAAACAAUUUUAUUUGAUAAUUUUAACAAUUAAAAAACAUCUGUAUACACUAAUCUUUAAGCAUUUAAUAUUAGUUAUUAGAACAUAUGAUAAAAUGAACUAAUGAAUUAAAAAAAAACAUUGAUAAUUGUUUUUAAUAAGUUACAAUUGAAGGUAUAUUAUUAAAAUAUAAGUUUAUAUGUAAUGUAAUUCAAACAUAUACAAAUUUAAAUAAGCCUUUACAACAAUAUAUAAAUCUUAUCUAUUAAAACAUUAUAUAUCUUAUAAAUGGGCCAAUAAUAGGGUGGGCAGAAAAACUGAACCAAACCAAACCAAACCGACCCAACCAAACUCAAAUCGAUCUAAACCAAACCAAAAUAUAUUUUCAAACCAUUUGGUUAAAAGUUUUAUCAAUCCAAAUGGUUUGGUUUUGUUCAAAAAAAAUGAAGUGGUUAUUGAAUUAUAUUAACUAAUUAUAUUAAGAAUAUUAAAAUUUAAUAUAUUUCUUUACAUUUUUACCACAAAAAAAAAUUAAGAUAUUUAACCAUCUAACCUAAACAACUAUUUUUAUACAUUUUACUUAUAAAUAAAUAGAGGAAAUACAUUAACAAUAAAAUAGAAAUAUAAAUAUCAUAAACUAUCACCAAAACAAACAAACUACUUAUGAUAUAUAUAUGUUUAUCAUAAACUAUGACCAAAACAGAAAAAUUAUUAUGCAAUAGCUUAUAAGUUAGUUUCUUAUGUACGAUUGUUUAUAUGGUUAAUUUGAAAAAAAACAUAAGAUGUGUUUAUAUAUUUCUUUAUAAUAUUAGAUUUGACUUUAGAUAACGAUUAUUCUUUUGACGAAUAUAAGUAAUGAUAUGAGGAGUAUUUUUUAUGUUUUGUAUACAUGUGUUUUCAGAUAAUUCGAAAUUUGAAAUGCACGGAUGUUUAUCAUAAACUAUGACCAAAACAGAAAAAUUACUAUGCAAUAGCUAUUUGGUUAAAAGUUUUAUCAAUCCAAAUGGUUUGGUUUUGUUCAAAAAAAAUGAAGUGGUUAUUGAAUUAUAUUAACUAAUUAUAUUAAGAAUAUUAAAAUUUAAUAUAUUUCUUUACAUUUUUACCACAAAAAAAUUAAGAUAUUUAACCAUCUAACCUAAACAACUAUUUUUAUACAUUUUACUUAUAAAUAAAUAGAAGAAAUACAUUAACAAUAAAAUAGAAAUAUAAAUAUCAUAAACUAUCACCAAAACAAAAAAAACUACUUGUGAUAUAUAUAUAUAUAUAUAUAUAUAUAUGUUUAUCAUAAACUAUGACCAAAACAGAAAAAUUAUUAUGCAAUAGCUUAUAAGUUAGUUUCUUAUGUACGAUUGUUUAUAUGGUUAAUUUGAAAAAAAACAUAAGAUGUGUUUAUAUAUUUCUUUAUAAUAUUAGAUUUGACUUUAGAUAACGAUUAUUCUUUUGACGAAUAUAAGUAAUGAUAUGAGGAGUAUUUUUUAUGUUUUGUAUACAUGUGUUUUCAGAUAAUUCGAAAUUUGAAAUGCACGGAUGUUUAUCAUAAACUAUGACCAAAACAGAAAAAUUACUAUGCAAUAGCUAAUAAGUUAGUUUCUUAUGUACGAUUGUUUAUAUGGUUAAUUUGGAAAAAAAACAUAAGAUUUUUUUAUAUUUUUUUAUAAUAUUAGAUUUGACUUUAGAUAACGAUUAUUGUUUUGACAAAUAUAAGUAAUGAUCUUAGGAGUAUUUUUGUAUACAUGUGUUUUCAGAUAAUUCGAAAUUUGAAAUGCACGGGUCAAGAUUCUUAAAAUACACAUUAAUGGCUUCCUUCCAAUCUUAUAGGAAGGUAGUUAUUAUAGUCAAUAAUAUAUGAGGUAAAUUAGUAAUGAUGCCAAAAUGUUAUUAAGAAAUAAAUGAAAUAUGAAUUUCUAGUAAUGGUCCAUUUUUUAAAAUAUCACAUAUGAAUCAAGGUUGUGACUUAUGUUUUAAUAUAUAAGAUGCGACCAAAAGUUAAAAUGAACCAAAAUAUACAAAUAAAAAUAUCAGUAAUAAUUAUUAUGAUAAAAUAGUAAAUUAAAUUGAAUAUAAGACAUUAAAAGUAAUAAACAAAAGGAAUUUGUAAAUCUACGCCAAUUUACAAUGACAAUUUGGCGCUCAAAAUGACUGUAAAAAGUAUAUACAAAUAUGAACAAAAAAGCAGUCAUAUAUACCAAAAAAAAAGUGUUCAAAGUGUAUAGUUGUAAUUAAAUUUAUGAGACUAAAAAUAUGUAUUUUUAUUUUCAAAUAAAAAAUAGUGUUUAAAACUUAUUGGUAACUCACUGGAUAUGAUAAUAAAUUUGGGAGAUAUACAACGACAAUAUGGCGAUCAAACUAAAGAAAAAAAAUUCAUUAAUUAGAAAUCUAUAUAGAAGACCAACUAUUUUAGAAAACUUGCAAAUUUGAUGUUCAAAAAACAUUUUUCAGAUUUUUUAAUGGAUUAAAAUAUGUGAAAAUGUCAGAUAAGAACAUUUACCUUUAUAAAUUGUACAACAUGUGAUUCCUUCCACUUUCGAAACAUGCUUUGAACAUUCUAAUUGAAAGAAAUACUAUUUUCAAUGAUUAAGCGCGAUACUCGAUGUUUAGCAAAGACUUUGAAAAACUGUAAACCUUAAAUCAAAACAUCAAAUCUAAAUAGAAAGCAAAUGUAAAAAAUAAAUAUAACUAUACCUUUAUAUUUUUUUAAAACAUAACUAUACCUUUAUAUGGUAUGAGAUUAUAACAUAAUUUUCUUUGUGAUGGUUGUUAGUGUUAGAUAUUGCGUACAAUUGUCUGCCAUUUUCCCUAAAAUAACCAAAAAGAUAAAAAUAUCUCCAACUGAAAAAAAAUUGAAAAUAUUCUUCAAAACAUGUUGCAAAGGAAAAAUAAAUGGAAGAAAUGAUUUCCUUGUAUCCCCUUAGCAUUGACCAAAUACUACGGCUGAAAACAUUUGGCUGAACAUAAAAUAAAAGAAAUGUUAAGGCGUCAGAAUCUUCUUGUUUGCCUUUUUAUCCAGCGAUUGUUAAUCAAUCGAGUCAUCAGUUUAAUAUGCAGAAGCAAUCUUCAUCAGUUUAAUAUCCAAAUUUCAUUUUUCAGAAACAUAAUUUACCUGAGAAAUAGGUGUGAAAGCAAUCUUCAUCUUGUCCAGGAUAUACAUGAAUACUGAAAUGAAAUUGUAACAUGUUUUCAGAUUAUAAAUUCAUACAACCUGUAAUAGACGAAAAUAAAAUUAAGAAAGGAACUCUAAAACUAAAAAUCUACAAAACCAGAAACUUAAAAAUCAAGGAUGUGUAGUUUACCUGUAGGAAUACGUAACUGUUAAAAUUCCUUUUUGUUAGAUUUUGUAUCUAUAUAUAAAGGUGUUGAAUUGGAAGUGAUGAGUGGUGAAAGUGGAAAACAAAAUUUACCGAUCGUGGAAUACAAAGAAAAAGAAAACGAGUAGAUUAUACAAAUUAUAAUUAAAUCAAUGUUGUAUGUUGAAAGCGACGAAUGUAUGGCUUCUGCAUAUCAUCUGAAAGCGACGAAUGUAUAGCUUCGGCAUAUGAUCUGAAAAUAGUUUUUGGAUCGGAAAAAUUAAUAAACCGAAAAGGAUAGCAAAUGGAUUAAAUAAUAAUCUUAAUAAAGAUGACGAUUAACGAUGCAGUUAUGAAGAUAGUGGAAAAUAAACUGUCACAGAUAUAUAAUUUUAAAACGUUUUUGUACACCAAAAAAAUAUUUUUUAAAACUUGUUUAGAAAACAUUUAAUUAAAAGCAUUUUUUAAAAAAUUGAGAUAAUGAAAUAAAGUUACACGAAUAUAACAGAAAACAGUUGUAAAAGAUUUAAUUUAAAAAAGUUUUAAACUUUAGUUCACAUGUUGGUUUUUAGAACAAAUUUUGAUUUAUUUUUCAAAAUAGAAAUUGAAAGACACGUGUCAAACCAAGAAAUGUCAAUUGACUUUUGCUUUAUUGUAUAAAAAAGAUGGUUGAUAACAUCUUCUACCAAUUUCAUUUGUAAUCACAUCACACAAAUUUUUCAUGGCUCUAUAACUAGUAGGCUCAUAUUGAGUAUGUUCAUCAUAAUCAUCAUCAUCACUAAUAGUAACUAGAUAUUUUUCUAAUGUGUGACAUUGUACAAAAUCAUGAUCUUCUUGAUGCGAGUCACAUAUAAAGUUAUGUAAUGUCAUUGUUGAUGUUAAAAUCUUUAAACAUUUAGUUAAACCAUACUUUGUAUGUUUACGAUCAAGAAUGUGAUUCUUUGCUUUUUACAAUCGAAAGGUCCGUUCAAUCACUGUUCACAAAUUCACAUGUUUCUGAUUUAACAACUCUUGCAUGUUUAUUGGUAAUCCUCCUCUAUGAAAUUGAUCAAAAUUAUAUUGAAUCCUAGUAUGGGGUUCAAGAUAGCAAAUUAUAGUAGGAUAUCCAAAAUAAACUAGGUAAUAUUUUCCAUUUGAAUGAAGUGAAAAAGAUUUAUUCUUAUUACAUUGAGUUAAUAUAUUUGUAUCAUUCGCUCUACAUGGUACGCCAAUAUAUACAUAUAUGAACUUCAUAUUGAAAUUACAUAUAACUAAGAUAUUCAUGGUAUGUUCCAUCUUUCUAUCUCUAUAUGUCUCAUUAUUUUUAUUAGGAGCCCGAACUAGAACAUGUGUCACAUCAAAAGAUCCAAUACAAUCUUUAAAAUAUGAAAAUUAUCGAUCAUCAUUCUUCAUGAAUGAACUCAUUCGCCUGAAUUCACUUUCUUAUGGUUUAAAUGUAUCCACAACAAACUUUAGAACAGUUAAAAAUUCAUCUAGCUUUCUUUUUAUUAUAUCCAUUGACCAUUGAUUAUGUUUUCAUAACUCCACAAAUGUCUUCGGGUUCAUUUGUGAAAUAUCUUAUAAUUGUUAAUCUAAUUAAUGCAUAAGUUGUUCAACAUGAUACCAUCAUGUACCUUGAUAUAUUUUUGGAUCAUUUUGUCAGGAUUAACCAUAUCAUACAAAUAAGGUUCAUCAUUAUCAUUAUCAUCAUCAUCAUCAAUCAUCCAACUAAUCAACUACAAAACAUAAAUAAAAAUACAUCAGUGGGCGAUGAAAAAGUAAAAUUAAUAAUCAUAGACUAAAAUUAACGUAUCAUAAAAGAAGUGUAAAAUGCAUCAUAAAACAAAAGUAUAAAUACAUCAUAAAGAAAAACAUUAAGACAAGUUAUAAACCAUCAAGAGAAAUAUAUAAUCAUACUUAUUAAAAUAAAUAUUUAAACCAAAAAAAAUAAUCGGAAUCAUAAACAACAAACAACAAACAACAAGCCGAAAUGUCUACGCUCUAUCCUUAUAUAACGAUUACAAGUAUAUCACCAAAUUCUACCUCAAAAACAUCCAUGUUAGAAAUCAACUUGUUAUUAUAUAGCUUCAAAACAUUCUUUUAUAAAAAUAUAGUUUUCUUCGGAAGUUUAAAUAUUAAAAAACUAAUAUUAAAUUGUAAAAAAUAGAGAACAAUUGUUAAUUACCGUUAUACUCUCCCAUCAAUCAACAAACAUAUCUAUUCUUCCCAUAGAAUCACAUUCUUACCAGUUCUACUGUGAGCUAACUUUUUAGACUUCCUUUUUUUGUAGCACAAACUCUUAACUUCUUUAUUCGUUUCUACUAAUAUCAUAGUCAUCUCAUCUUUUGUAUAAAAAAAAACUCUUUUGCAUACAUACAUGUAUAGCUUCAUAAUAAAAUUAUGAAACAACUAGGGUCGGCCCGGCCUAUACGGGCGGGGUAUACUUUACUUGUGAACUCAGAUUUUAUUUUUUGUAUGAUUUGGUGGUUUGUGUUUUAGGUUUGCAUUUACAAGAAAUGUCUAUAAUAGUGUUUAUUGUCUAGUAGGAAAAUCUAAGUGGUGAAGAACAGUAUAUUCAUUUUACUUAACAUUUGAUGUUUGCUUAUUUUUUUCACUUAUUUUUGUUUUUUAUUUGUUAUCAAAUAUAUUUUUUGACAUUAUAUUAUUUUAGUUAUUUUUUUUAUGUUUUAUAAUGAUAAUACAUUUUAUAUCAUCUUUGCAUAUGUCUAACUAAAAUUAUUUAUUUUUAUUAUUAUUGUUAGAGAUUAUAAGAUUGUAUUAGCAUGAUACGAUUUUCAUGAUUGAAAUGGUAUACAUUUGUUGAAUGUUUGUUCAUUAUUUUUAUAUAGAGUAAGUAUAUUUGAAUUUUUAUUGUUGUGGUUAGGUAUAGUACUCAAGAUAUCGAUUAUUUUACAUUUUGUAUGUAUUGAAUGUACUUGUAUUUUUAAUAAAAUUUUAUUAUUCAGUUUCAGUGUAUAAUUAGUGGCUGUUUUACUUAUUCUAUUACAUCAUAUAUUGUUUCCAUUUGCUAUACCGAGUAAUAUAUUAUUUUAAUUUUAAAUUUACUAUAAAUUUAUUAUGUGACAAAAUAAAACAUAAUAUAUGUAUUAGUUAAAAAUGUAUCGUGUGUUAUAAUUUUGGAUCAAGAUACAUACAUUUAUUGAAUCAUUAUGCGUUUUGUGUUACAUAUUGUUAAUACUUGUUUUCCUCCGAAAGAUGUUGGUUAUAAAGCUUCUAAAAAAGACUGAAGGGAUCUCAACUAAAUAGUGAAGAACAAAUAAUAAGCAGAGACUAAUGACCAUGGCAACAAAUCAAUAAGAGACUCCUUGAUGUAAAUCACAGUACGUCCUAGAGCAGAAAAUGUUUUUCCAAGUUCUCCUUUCAGUCCCUACACCAAUCCAGAAGGAUUUGAACUCUUUUUAUUGAACUGUCUGAGGUAUAACGCCACAUGAACAACAGUAACAUUAUACAAAGUUGUAUGGUAAAUAAAAGAGAAAGCAUACACAAUUAUAUUUCUGAGUUAGAACUCAAGAUGAUCUUUCCACAUAAUCAUGAUGUCUCAUAAUAAACAGAAACAAGGUGUUGAAUGGGUUGGGUUGAUUUUAUCGCAUCUGAGACACACAUCUCCGCAUCUGAAAAUAUUAUGACUUUGCCUCGAGGUUGCAGGUUCGAAUCAUACAAAAGUGUUGGUAAAUCAUGAUCGGAUAAAUAGUGUUAUUCUUUAUUUUGGCGAGGUCCGUUGGAAUAUAAAAAAACAUGAUGGAGGCGUCAGCCUAAGCGAAGCAGUAUGAGAAAUAAAAUAGAAGGCAAACUUGUCGCUUUGAUAUUGAAUUUGUAUUUGUUUAAUAUAUGUUAUUACAGGUUGGUCUAUACGUAUGUCAUCUCGGUCUUGCUCCAUCAUAUACUAUAAUCAUAAGGGUCACCUUAAGCGUGGCUAUGUUCACUACUGCCGCUAGCCUGAUCAGUUGCACUUAACUUGAGUCUUUUAGAGCAGACGCAAGAUACACAUGUAGGUCAUGGCAUAUCACAUGGGAUGUUGUCCCCACCUUGUCUAAACAUAUUAAAAUAUGUUAAGUACAAAGUAUGAGAAAGAGGAGGUUAACAUGUAAUGCAAAAUUUUCAGUAGUGGGAAGCUGGUGGUGAUCAAACACAGCUGACUGACUCUAUCGCAUCUGAGAUACACAUCUUCACACAAUACCUUCAACGUUUGCGAAUUUUAAAAUGUUAGUAGGAAAAUGGUAGAUGGUUUAUUUGGUUAGUGUUUUGAAAAGUGAGGAGUAAUUUAAAUCUAUGGGGCAAUACUUAAGAACACCAGAAUUCUCGCAGAAGCUUCCUUGAACAUUAGUAGCUUCAAUGGCUUCUAUUUUACAGGUGCAAAGAAACUCAGCAACUUGUGGUGGAAAGAAGGAACGUUAAUAAUCUAGCACACGAAUGGGUCCUUGAAGUUGCAUUCAAAUAUUGGCGUUCAGCAAGUCUAGCGUAGUUAGUGUUGGAACAUAAAUACACACAGACGUCUGAAAUAGAAAGGUUUUGAGGAAGCUGUUGACCUCCUACAAAGUGUUGGGAUUAAUGCUCGUUGCGAUAAUGACAUUAGGCUUUACACCGACACCAUCUAACUUUUGGUGAAGUUGGCUGGCCUGCACGUCAAAGACACUUCGACGGACAGUAGAAGAUCUGCGUACAUGUUCAGGAAUAACAGAAAAUAAAGUAAAUGGACGUUCUAAUGCAGCUUUCAAGUUUGGUAGUAUAAAAUCAAACGAAGAUGAUACAUAAACAGUGAAGUGGUUCUGAAACACACGAUGUACCUGUCAUUUUGGAUGGUCGCCAUUAUGCCAUAUGAUGUUUGCAAGGAAAGUGUAACAGAGUAUGGACAUUUUUAUGGGGAGGCAUAUAGAUUUGUUCUGAAUAUAAGUUAAGAGACAGUCCUAGCAAUUCAGUAUUUGUGUUUGCCAAUGCCAUGAGUUGUUCAUGAACCUAAAGAGCUCCAGAGGUAAUGGAGCAGGUCCUACCGGAAUCUCAACAAACUUAGUUAGGUCAGUGAAGCGUAUGUCGACUGGUGAUACUUGAAGUGGUGGUUGCUUCUCGUAACAUCAAGCCCAUUGAGCUCGUAAACAGCUCCCGCUUUCAGCAAAUGUUCGCAAGUGUUAAGUCGAUGAACAUAGAUGGAACUUUGGAGAAGCCUUGACUGAAAAUUGGGAAAAGCAUGAAGAAAGGUGGAUAACUUUAAUCAAGCCACAUGAGCUCCCCACCACGCUUAACGUUCCUGGCCCCCCAGAAUCGCAGCAGUCUAGCCUCGACAACAGAUGAACACUUGCCAGACUUCAGAUCGGGAAAAAACAUGUGAAUCUUUAGUAUAAUAUAAGAGAUAUGAGUAGAAGUGCGGUGAAGAGAUUGUGAUUUCCAGAAGAGAAAUACAGACCUAUUUAUACCCGACCUCACAGAUCUUGCCGACGCAAACAACGCAUUGAAUAACGGGCGCUUCAAUCGAUGGGAUUAAUCACGUAAAAACCAUAACGCAAUCUGUUUCAUGGACGGUGAGAAAGCUCGAUAGUCACUGUCGCCACUUAAGGAAGAGAAGCGAAGAACAUAUAUUUUCACCGUCUGAACUUAAGCCCGAUAAGAUCAUACGGACACAUAGCGAAGAAAGGCCCAGACGAUACACAAAUAAAGAAGCUCUGCGUUCUGCGGUGCGAUACACGUGUCAGCACCGAGGCUCUCUACUUUAUUCGCUGGCAUCAGACGUGGAGGGUCGAGGAUUGAGAGAACUGUUCUUUUAUAUAUACUAGAGGCUUUUCCUGGGCUACUCCCGGGAUAUUCGUAUAAGUUUUAAUUAAAUUAAAAAAAUACAAUAACAUUUGAAUAUAAAUUGUUAUAUAUACUACAAUUGAUUUUAAACUAUUAAAUUGGUAAGAAAUUUAAAUUCGUUUGAAUUUAUUGAUUGCCUUAUGUCUAAAAUAUUUCAUAUAGUUUAACUCACAAUUUGUUAUUAAAGAAAAUCAGAACGAUCAGUAAGAUGGGUCAAAAUUAACUAAACCUUGUUAUACUUUAAAAUACAUUUAUCUUAUUAAUUUAAGUUUUGUAUAAAACAAUUGUAAAUUUAAAACCGAUUUAAACUUUGUUUUAACUUUAGAAUUAUUGAGUUGUAAUACCAUAUUGAACAGUUUCAUAACAGAAAUUAAAUUGAAUAAAAAAUUGAUCCAAACUAAGGAUAAUGUUGUUCUCCAAAUCAAUUCAUGAAAAUACAUAAUAAAUAAAAAUUAUAACAGACCAAACCAGUUUUUAGACAAUUUUUUAAAUAAACCAUCACCGAAACUUUAUAUUUAAAUCAUAUAAACCAAUAAUAACUCUUUAAAUUAAGAUAUUCCGGCCUCGUCACAAAGAGAUUAGUCUUUACUUUUAUGUUGAUUUCUACCUUUGGUUAUUUAUUUUAAAGUUAUAAUCUGGUGUUUUUUAAAAAUUUAUAUAUGGUGAGGAUUUAGUUUAAUAUUCACAACUUUUAAAUUACUUAUGAAGAUUGUUGUUGAAUGAAUAUAAUUUGAAGAAGUGGUCUAAGUCUAAAUCCUUAAACAACUCUCCACGAUGUGUUUGAGUCUCCAUUUUACGUGUUUGAGUCUCCAUUUUACACUCUUUUCAUCGUAACUGUUACCAAUGAAAUGUGUUCAAAAUUUCAAUCAUCGUAAUUACUACAAUUUUCGUGUUUAAUUUUAAACUAACUACAUAUGUUGUUUUGAGCCCAGUUAUAUAUUCAUCGUACCAUGUUACAAAAAGAACAUACGAAUUAUUUGAAAAAUGUAAUCCAUUGGAACAAAUUGACAGUGAUUAGUUUCCAAUAUAUAGUGUAAGAUUAAAUACUUUCAACGGUGGGCAAGUCUCACACAUUGUCUUCCUAAGUUUUUUUAUGCUUUUUUUUUGCUAAAAUUUGGUGCAAUUGUCUUUCUAAGUUCUUUAUGUAUCUUAGCUAAUUUAUUAGUCAAAUAAUUUAUAAAAGGAUCCCAACUUGGAUUUUGAUAUAUAAACUUUAUGUGUAUAUAUGGUCUUGAAAGUCUUCAGAAACAUUUAAUCUUUCUAUCUUUUUGUACAAAGAUCACUUUGUCCCCAAACGAUAUCUUCUUCUUCUGAGAUUCUUCCAGACAUAAGCAAUAACUCAGGAGAGAGAGAGAACUAAAAGCUUAAAAAUCACGAAACUUAGCGGAUAGUUAUUAGAAACCUAAAAUAAAGAUUAAAAAAAGGCUGCAAUGGUUGCCAUGUGCCCCGGAGAGGCAGCAAGAAUUACAUCCUCCGGCCAUGUAUUCAAUGGAUAGAAACAGCCGAAGCUCAGGGACACGCGUUGCUAAAUUAUUUAGACUCCCCCGUCCCAUGUCAUUUAGCGCCGGUAAUUAAUUUGACAAAUACUUUUGAAGAUUGAGUAUCAUCUUCAGAGGCUUUGGUUUCACCUUGUUCAUGUAUUAAAGAAAGAAACAAAUCUCUAGUCUCAAGCUCAAGAAUUGAUUAGUGAAUAAAAGAUGAAUGGUAAAUUUGUCCAAAAAAAGAUUAAUAAUAACACUUAGCACCAUUGUCUCUAGAGGGAAUUUAUUGGCAACUGUUUCGGGUUUAUCAGUGAACCCAUGCAAAAAAAAUUAAGUCUUCAACAAUCUGGAAAUAAAUUUUGAUUUAAAAAGAAAAUGACUAAACAAAAAUAUUGCUAUAGAUCUUUUACAACUCCCGAACACAGAAAGGAGUUUGUUUUUUAAGUUAUUACCUCAGAAGUUGGGAUCUCUAUGUUUACAGAUGACCCAGACUUAACGACAACUUCAGAAACAUCUUCGUUGGAGAAUUUGAUAUAAUCAUCUCUUUCGUUACCACCGUACUGAACCGGGAUCUCCUCUGCAAGAAAGUACCUUCAUCAAGCCACAAUGCAUUAAUGUUAUGGUAAAGAUUGACUUUUAGAGCAUAGUAUGGGGUUCUUACUUAGAAGAGUCUCUGUGACAUUAGCUGGAGGAGUCACAACAAACUUGCUCUUCAUUCUUCGUGUUAAGAAUGGAGAGAGGAGAGUGCUGCCAGCUUAGAACCCAUUAUAUAUCUAAGGCACAGGAUCGAUACAUCUCAAGCUAGUUUGUAAAGAUUGAGCCGUUUGGAUUAGGUUCCUCUUUGUUCCAUGAGCUGUGUGUCUUCGUCCAACAUCGUCCCCGGAUUCUCCUUCUGCACCAUUUAUUUUAUUGAAUCAUUAGAAAGUGCUUUCCAUCUUCAAUAUGAAAGGGUAAUAAUAUUUUUUUACUUCUUUCCUGUCGACAUGAGCGUGGAAGAAGUUGAGGGAUAUCAUUACUAUGGAAGCAUUAAGAAGUUGGGUGGUAAUAUGGAAUACAAUUUGCUUACUCUUUAGGUUGUAUGUGUACCAACAAUCUCCUUCCCCGUGAUCAGUCAAGGACUGGACGUUGCUGGAGAUGAUGCCCAACGAUGAGUUUCAUGUGCCCAAUAAAUCUAAAACAUUAAUGCACCUAAUACAAAACGGGGAGGAGAUGUCAGAACUGUUGGGGAAUAUUAAAUAGAUCCCUUUUGUGGAGACCAGUUUCAUCCCAUCUAUAAUUUAAUUCUCAAUUUUAUAGUCUAUAUGUAAUUAUACUACAAUAUAAUUGAAUUCCAUUUUAUUAGUUUAGUAAAACCGUAUCUGAUUUUUGAAUUUAAAAAUAUUUGCAUCAUUUAUAUGGUUUUAGUAGAACCAUCUAACAAUACUCCCCAAAUUCUCCAAAACUCUUUAUAGUUUUUUUAACAUUUUAGAAAACAUUAAUUUGUCUAAAAAAAAUCUAUCAAGCUGAUCAACGUUGAUAUUUUUAUUUGAUAUUAUUUUUAAAAGGGGUAAAUUUUUAUGAAUUUUUCCUUUUGUAAAUAAGUUUAUCUAGGCUAUGUAUUUUAAAAAUAGAGAUAAAAUUUGUAAAUGAACAAAAUUGUUCUUUAGAAAGAUAAAAAAAAACAAAUAAACAAUUUGUAAAACGAACAAAGAGGUUGAAGUUUUUCUUUUCCUCUCUAGCUUUUAUCUUCUUGAUGUUUUUUAUCCGUCCUUCGAAGUACUUGACAUAUUUGAUUGAGCUGUCAAAGUAAAAUCUUGUUGCGAGUGAAAAGCGAGUUCAAGAUGAUUUUAAAUAUUUUGUGUUUUGAUUUUUUUUUGUUAACUAAAUUUUGUGAGUUCAAGAUGAUUUUAAAUAUUUUGUGUUGUUAUUUUUUCUUGUUAACUAAAUUUUGUAUGAAUAAUAAUUUGCUAACGUAAUUACUUAUGUUUCUAAUUGAAAGCUUGCAAGUUAUGGAAAAUUACGAUCCAUAGGGGUGGCCAUAAUAAUGCAGCCAUGCCGCUUCUAAUUUUGGUCCAUUGUGCAUUAUACAAGUUUGGUAGAAACAACAUCCUGCUCUAAUAUAUUUAUUAAAGACAACGGAGUUGUUCAUUUAGUUCACUAAACAAAAUAUUAUAAUAUUUUGUUCGUAUUUGACAAAAGAUGUUAUGGUAGUAUGUUAUGACGUUAAUGGCAUAUAGACGACUAAAAGAUAUAUCUAGAGAUAUCAUGCCCAAAUACUAAGGGGGAAAAGGAAAUCUAAAAUAGUAAAACCAAAUAUUGUGUCGCAAAAAUGAAAUCUAGGUUUGAUAAGUCCAAAAUGAGAAUAAACUAAAGCCCACACAUAAGCCCACUGCAAAUGAAAGAAAAACUUGAAGCCCAGACGUAAUUGAAGCCCGUCUAAUGUGUAAAAACAAAAUGAACUGAUUGGAUGAUUAUUUUUGAUGAUGUGGAUAGCCUAAUUGCUCACUAUAUUGUGCUUUUAGUAUUGUGAUAGAUAGACGACAAAAUAAUCUAAAAAGGCUAAGAAUCUAAUAAUAAUAAUUAAAGGUCGUCAAUUAGGCUAAGAAUCUAAUAAUAAUAGUUAAAGGUCGUCAACUAGUUCAACUUCACUUCAAUUUGAAUGAUUUAUGUUUUAUAUGUAAGAUUUUGGAUGAAAAACCUGAAACUUAGAAAAUUUAGACAGACCAAAAAGUUAACCAAAUCAUGGGCCUGACUUGGUUUUUGUUGCUCACCACAUGUUCACCGCUGCUAUCGCACGUGACACUGUUUGGAAAUAAAUGUAAAGCUUUUUCCCGGUGCUCAUAUUUCGACUCGAUCCAAAUCCUGUACAGGCCCAGUUCAUAUAUAAAAGUAGAUAUGAUAAACACAGAAACGCACGUAUAUUUUUGGAGUUAUCCAAGUACAUUAGUAUGUAGUUAGGUGAAUAGACAUUUUAGGUAUUUUAUGAGUGAUCUUUUUUCUUGUGUUUUAAUCAUUUUGAGUCAAAACAGUUUUGGUGUUUUUAGGUAAACAUUUUCGAUUAUUUCUGUUAAAUGUUUUUUAUUCGCCUUUUAGCUAAUUUGAGAAAAAAAUGAUUUAAAGAUUUAAACACAUGAAAAUAGGGUGUUAGGGCAAAAGAGAAGAGCCUCGUCCGUCACUCAUUGUGGGUCUCGUCUUACAGACACCCAAAGAGGGAAGAAGAAGAAGAAGCAAAUCAUUACACAUUUUUUUUUGUGUUUCACAAAGAGAUGGAGAGAGCAACCAUUUCCCCGAGCCUGAGUCAAAACUACUUACUUUGUCCUUCACCACGCGCCUUUACCACGCGCCUCCACUCCUUCUCCACUACUCGGAACCUAUCUCCGUCAUCUUGCUCCUCCUCCAUCAAGGUCUAUCUUCUUCUUCUUCUUCGUCUUCCUUCUCCACUGUUAUAUUAAUUUCUCAAAUUGUUAUCAUCUUCUUUACCCAUUUUUUUUUCUCCGAUUAUAUAUAUAUUCACAGCUUCAGCAUUCUUCUUCCAAUGGCGGAACCUCCCUUACUCGUUGCAACGCCGUCCUCUCCAAUUCGUCUUCCAGGUUCGUUGUAUUCAAAAUCAUUUUGGGGUACCCUUAUUUGAAUUUGAUGAUGAGACGACUCUGGGGUUUUAUUACAUUGUUGAAUAUAUAUAGUGCGGAGGUAGCAGACAUAGAUUGGGACAACAUAGGGUUCGGUCUUAAGCCGACUGAUUACAUGUACGUCAUGAAAUGCAACCUCGAUGGGGAGUUCUCAAAGGGUGAAUUGCAACUUUUUGGGAACAUUGAAGUCAGCCCAUCUGCUGGUGUUCUCAACUAUGGACAGGUUUUUGUUUCUUCAAAAGUCACCUCCUUUACUGUUAUUGAGUCUUACUAGUUGUGUGUGCUUCUGUCUGUAGGGACUGUUCGAAGGAAUGAAAGCUUACAGAAAGCAAGACGGUAAGAACAUCCUCCUCUUUCGUCCUGAAGAGAAUGCAAAUCGUAUGAGAAGUGGCGCCGAGAGGAUGUGUAUGCCUGCUCCUACCAUUGACCAGUUUGUCAAAGCUGUCAAAGCAACCGUAUUAGCAAACAAACGUUGGGUAAAAUAAAUGAUACGCAAAUAAAGUUUAUUAAGAAAUUUGUUUGCUGUUAUGAUGAGUUAAUCGAUGUAUUGUUGUUAUCAGGUUCCACCUGCAGGGAAAGGUUCUUUGUAUAUUAGACCGUUGCUAAUGGGAACUGGAGCUGUUCUUGGUCUUGCCCCUGCUCCAGAAUAUACUUUCCUUGUCUAUGUUUCUCCUGUUGGAAACUACUUCAAGGUUUUUUCAACGUUCCUCCUUUCAGUAAAGAUCUAAACAUUGUAGAUUGUUGUUUAAUGCAACUUCUCCGUUUCUCUCAGGAAGGUGUGGCACCAAUCAAUUUGAUUGUGGAAAGUGAAUUUCACCGUGCAACACCUGGUGGUACCGGUGGUGUUAAGACCAUCGGCAACUACGCUGCAGUAAGUAAAUCUGAUUUGGUGAAUAAAUUGAUACUGGCUUUUGUGCUUACUUACUCACUCACACACACAUACAACUCAUAACAUAGGUACUGAAAGCACAGUCGAUUGCGAAAUCUAAAGGAUAUUCCGACGUUUUGUACCUUGAUUGCGUUCACAAACGAUACCUUGAAGAGGUCUCCUCUUGCAAUAUCUUCAUUGUCAAGGUAAAAACUCCAUUUACAUUCUAUAAGAUGUCUCUCCACUUAUCAGUCUAAGUUCACAAGGCGUUUUAGAUGAGAUUAAGAUUCUGACACCUUGUUAGCAAGCAUCUCAAGCUACUAAAUCUCUUAUAAAAGAAACCGUUCUUACCAAAUAAAUUGUUUCUGACUUACUGUCUUUGACAGGACAAUGUGAUCUCUACUCCUGAUAUAAAAGGAACAAUCUUACCAGGGAUUACGCGGAAAAGUAUAAUCGACGUGGCUCGUACCCAAGGUUUUAAGGUAAUCUCAAUUAUACUCACAUCUUGAAAAGAGGAUCAAAGUACCACAAGUAGCAAAUGGUCACAGAGCAUGUUUAUUUGGUAAUCAUGCAGGUGGAGGAACGGAAUGUGACAGUUGACGAGUUACUAGAAGCUGACGAGGUUUUCUGCACAGGAACCGCCGUGGUUGUCUCUCCAGUUGGAAGCAUUACGCACAAAGGCAAAAGGUAUUAAACAAGCCUAUAAAAUGUGCUUUUAUUGCAUUUCACAAGAGUGUUUCUCAUCCUCAAUAAUAUGCACACGCAGAGUAUCUUAUGGAGAAGGUAGCUUUGGACCCGUCUCGGAGAAACUCUACACCGUUCUGACAAGCUUGCAGAUGGGUCUGAGCGAGGACAACAUGAACUGGACUCUGAAUCUGAGUUAGAAAAACUCUACACCAGUGUUUUCGGUUUUAUUUUUCAUCCUCGUAUGAGUCUCUCAUUCUUAUUCGUAAAACUACAAGUUGGAUUGUUUUAAAAACUUGGUUCGAUCUCAAAAGUCGACAUCUUACAACUUAGCUGCUUCACGAUUAGUAGAUGUCGGUAUACUUCAGUCUUUGUUUGCACUUUGAAGCCUAAUAUUUAAAACUAAUUUCCGGUUUCUUUUAUAAUGUUUCACCCUGUCCAAACCGGCUGGACCGGGUCAAAUCAAGUCGAAGGUGACCACAGUUUAUUCAUCAAGCUCAAACCCUCGAUUUUUCCAUGUCCAUUCGUCUCCGUGCAAAAAUAAUGGUUAGCCAUAAGAGCAAUUCUAUUAUAGUCUAUACAUUUAUGUAUUAAAACAUGAUUUCUUGUCCAAUAAAUAAACUAAGAGAAAUUCGUUUAAACCGAACCGAAUCGAAUACAAACCAAACCGAAUAUAAACCGAACCAAACAUAAUCAAACCGAAAUCGAUUCAAACCAAACUAACUAUGGUUUAGGAGGUGUUAUUGGUUUAUAUAUUUUGAUUGAUUUAGAAAUCCAUAUAGUAUUUAUAAAUCCAAGUAAAAUAUGCAAAUCCGGAGGUUUUCCCUCGGAUUUGAGUCUUUGUAUUUUUAACUAAGAAAUCCAAACAAAUCCAUUCAAAUCCAUUAUAAAAUCAAAUAUAUUAGUAAAUCCGUAUGAUUGAAUAACACUUGAUUUGAUACAGAAUUUAUGAAUCAUUAAACCAAUAACACAUGAUUUUAAUACUGAUUUGAAAAUCAUAGAACCAAUAACACUAGAUUUAGUUCGGAUUUUCAAAUCCAUUAAAAUACAACAACCAAUAACCCCUACUUACUUCAGCUGGAAAAAUUCUAGAACCGAACUAACCAAACCGAACCAAACUCGAACUGAACCGAUAAAAUAACCGACGUGCCCACCCCUAAUUAUAGAGUAUCUCAACUUUGAUAUCUUAGAAAACCCAACAAAAAAAUAAAGAAUGAGUAUCAUAUUUAUUAAUUUUACAAAUAUAUUAGUUUACCAAUUUAAUAUAAUUUUCAUAUUUAAUUUAUUUAUUACUUCUAUUUUUAAAUAAUACAGACUAUACUUAUAAAAUUUAUAAAAAUAACGUAUAAUUUUAUUUUACUUUUUAUAAUAAAAUUUUAAUAAAAUUAAUUUAUAAUAAUAUUAUACUUAUUUCGAAAUUAAUCUAUGCAUUAAUUAAAAAAAAUUUGUUUUGUAAGAUUUUGUUAGAUUUUUUCUUAACAGAUUUUGUUAUUACAAAUUUAAAUUUACAGCUAAAAUUGAUUUAUUAUUGAUAUCCUUAUAAUUAUUUAUUUUUUUUAGAAAUUUUAUAUAUUUAAUAAAAUAAUGUAAAUAGUCAAAUAAAUGUAAUUAAAUAUCCGGUCCUAUAUGAAUUCUAAAUAGUAGAUAAAAUGGUACGUCUCUUUUAAUAUUUAAACUAGAUCUCGAUCCGCGUAACCGCGCGAGUUUUUGUUUUCAUUUAUUUUAUAUAAACAUUUUGUUUUCAAUUCUAAAUUGGUAUAUAUUAUAAUAUAUAUGUGUCUAUCAAUUUUUAAAACAUAAUAAGUUUACGGUAUAUUUUUUUCAUUGAAUAGAUUGUUUCAAACUUUCACAUGUAUUUGUAUCUUCUUCUAUAUAUAUAUUUUCGGAAUAUUAUUUCAUUAUUAAAAUCGUAACUAUAUAUAUAAAGAUUAGUAAAAUAUUGUUUUAUUAUCAUAUUCAAAAAUAUUGUAACAUUUCACAAAUUUAGAAAGUUUUUAAGAAAUUAAACUUUUCGCUUCAUAGAUUUAUAUUAUCAAGUAAAUAAUUAAACAUUUAGUUUUUGUUUAAUUUUUAAAAUAAACUAUAUAGUUUAAAAAAAAUUUCAUUGGUUUAAGCAUUUAAGGUAGUAAAAAUUAAUCAUUGUUAGAUAAUAUGAUUUUUGUUAUUUAAAAAAAAAUCUUUAUAAUUUUAAAAGUUAACAUCGACAAAUAUUUAAAUAAUUAACAUAUGGAGGUAUAGUAUUACAAUUAACAUAUGGAGGUAUAAUAUUGUUUAAAUCUAAUUAUUGAAAGCCCAAUAAAAAUUUCUGGUAGACCCAAAAUUUAAAUGAUAAAAUUAUAGAUUAAAUGUAACAUGACUUUAUAGGAAUAUGUCCAUUUUUAAAAAAAAUCACACAUGAAUCAAGGUUGUAACUUUUAUUUUAAUAUAUAAGAUAGUCUUUGUUUGAACUUUGAAGCCUAAUAUUUAAAAUUAAUUUCCGGUUUCUUUUAUAAGGUUUCACCCUGUCCAAACCGGCUGGACCGGGUCAGAUCAAGUCGAAGGUGACCACAGUUUAUUCAAGCUCAAGCCCUCGAUUAUUCCAUGUCCAUUCGUCUCCGUGCAAAAAUAAUGGUUAGCCAUAAAAGCAAUUCUAUUAUAGAGUAUCUCAACUUUGAUAUCUUAGAAAACCCAACAAAAAAUAAAAGAAUGAGUAUCAUAUUUAUUAAUUUUAAAAAUAUAUUAGUUUACCAAUUUAAUAUAAUUUUCAUAUUUAAUUCAUUUAUUACUUCUAUUUUUAAAUAAUACAGACCAUACUUAUAAAAUUUAUAAAAAUAACAUAUAAUUUUUUUUUUUUUUUAUAGUAAAAUUUUAGUUAAAUUAAUUUAUAAUAAUAUUAUACUUAUUUCGAAAUUAAUCUAUGCAUUAAUUAAAAAAAUUAAAUUUGUUUUGUAAGAUUUUUUUAGAUUUUUUUUAACAGAUUUUGUUAUUACAAAUUUAAAUUGACAGCUAAAUUUGAUUUAUUAUUGAUAUCCUUAUAAUUAUUUAUUUUUUUUAGAAAUUUAUAUAUUUAAUAAAAUAAUGUAAAUAGUCAAAUAAAUGUAAUUGAAUAUCCGGUCCUAUAUGACUUCUAAAAAGUAGAUAAAAUGGUACAUUUCUUUUAAUAGAGUAGAUUUCAUAUUAUAUUUUGUAUAAUCAUUUUUAGAUAAUAUAUUAUUGCUAUUAAAAAAAUAGAUGAUAUAAAGUUUAACAUAUGUUAAGGAUUUUAUUUUUUGUAAUAAAAAUAUUACAUAAUUUUUGAAUUUUAAUCCUUUUAAAUGAUGAAUGAUAUUUUAAUCCUUUUAAACGGUAAAUGACAUUUUAUUUAUUAAUUUUUAAAAUAUAUUAGUUUACCAAUUUAAUAGAAUUUUCUUAUUCAAUUCAUUUAUUACUUCUAUUUUUAUAUAAUAUAUGCUAUACUUAUAAAAUUUAUAAAAAUAUUUUAUAAUUUUAUUUUAUUUUAUUAUCAUAAAAAUUUAAUUAAAUUAAUUUAUAAUAAUAUUAUACUAUUUAUUUCGAAAUUAAUAUAUGCAUUAGUUAAAAAUAAGUUAAUUUUUCGUAUGAUUUUGUUAAAUUUUUUCUUAAUAGAUUUUUUCUAUCACCAAAUUUAAAUUUAUAGAUAAAAUUGACUUAUUAUUGAUAUCCUUAUAAUUAUUUAGAGGUUUUUUUGAAAUGCUAUAUAUUUAAUAAACUAAUGUAAAUAAUCAAAUAAAUGUAAUUAAAUAGAUGGUCCUAUAUGACUUCUAAUUAGUAGAUAAAAUGAUACUUAUCUUUUAAUAGAGUAGACUAGAUUUUGAUCCACGCUUCAAAAGUGCCGAUUUUCUUCCGUUAAUAACAAUGUUAUAUAAAAAUUAAUGUUAUUGUUUUGAUGUACAUUAUUAAGUUACAAAGUUUUAUUAUAUCAAAAAAGGAAAAUUAUUUUGUUUAAAAUUAUAUAAUUUAUUUUAUCAAAAAAAUAUAUUUAAUUUAUCAAUUAAUUUAUCUAAGAUUUUUAUGUACAUUUUUAUUUUACAACGUAUAUUUUGUGUAUAUGUUAUAAGAGAUAAAUGAGCUGGUGAGACAUAAGAUAUAUUUAGUAUAUAUUUGUAGGGUUGUUAAUAAUUUUUAUUAGUGUUUUUGUACAUGAUCCAGAUCCGUGGUCAAACAGGUAGAUUCAGUGAUCUAUAUAUAAUCCGGUUCGGAUUUAGUUAAAAUGUGAUAAGUAAAAAUCUGAUAAAAUUUGGUAAAAACUCAAAAGCUCAUCAUUAAUACGCGAUGUGAUAAUAGUUGACCCGAUAAAAACCUAUAUAAAUCUUAUGAUAUAUAUUUAAAAAAAUGAUAUACUUUUUAAUAGUAUAUAAAUUUGAAUAAACUAUUUGAUUUGCGAUUCUUUAAUCUAUACUAAUUUGAAUAAACUAGUAAUAUAUGAAUCCGGAGAAGCAGGAGAUGCCGGCUCUAAUUUCGAAUCUCCCGAAGAUAUGGAAACUGGAAGAGAGGGUUGUUGGUACGGAUUUGGGGUUUGGGAAGUUCCAGUUUGAUUUCGAAACGGUGGAAGAUAUGGAAGGGGUUCUCAAGAAUCAACCUUUUCAUUUUGAUUACUGGAUGUUGGCUUUGGCGCGGUGGCAACUUUUUUUUUUUUUUUAUAGUAAAAUUUUAGUUAAAUUAAUUUAUAAUAAUAUUAUACUUAUUUCGAAAUUAAUCUAUGCAUUAAUUAAAAAAAUUAAAUUUGUUUUGUAAGAUUUUUUUAGAUUUUUUUUAACAGAUUUUGUUAUUACAAAUUUAAAUUGACAGCUAAAUUUGAUUUAUUAUUGAUAUCCUUAUAAUUAUUUAUUUUUUUUAGAAAUUUAUAUAUUUAAUAAAAUAAUGUAAAUAGUCAAAUAAAUGUAAUUGAAUAUCCGGUCCUAUAUGACUUCUAAAAAGUAGAUAAAAUGGUACAUUUCUUUUAAUAGAGUAGAUUUCAUAUUAUAUUUUGUAUAAUCAUUUUUAGAUAAUAUAUUAUUGCUAUUAAAAAAAUAGAUGAUAUAAAGUUUAACAUAUGUUAAGGAUUUUAUUUUUUGUAAUAAAAAUAUUACAUAAUUUUUGAAUUUUAAUCCUUUUAAAUGAUGAAUGAUAUUUUAAUCCUUUUAAACGGUAAAUGACAUUUUAUUUAUUAAUUUUUAAAAUAUAUUAGUUUACCAAUUUAAUAGAAUUUUCUUAUUCAAUUCAUUUAUUACUUCUAUUUUUAUAUAAUAUAUGCUAUACUUAUAAAAUUUAUAAAAAUAUUUUAUAAUUUUAUUUUAUUUUAUUAUCAUAAAAAUUUAAUUAAAUUAAUUUAUAAUAAUAUUAUACUAUUUAUUUCGAAAUUAAUAUAUGCAUUAGUUAAAAAUAAGUUAAUUUUUCGUAUGAUUUUGUUAAAUUUUUUCUUAAUAGAUUUUUUCUAUCACCAAAUUUAAAUUUAUAGAUAAAAUUGACUUAUUAUUGAUAUCCUUAUAAUUAUUUAGAGGUUUUUUUGAAAUGCUAUAUAUUUAAUAAACUAAUGUAAAUAAUCAAAUAAAUGUAAUUAAAUAGAUGGUCCUAUAUGACUUCUAAUUAGUAGAUAAAAUGAUACUUAUCUUUUAAUAGAGUAGACUAGAUUUUGAUCCACGCUUCAAAAGUGCCGAUUUUCUUCCGUUAAUAACAAUGUUAUAUAAAAAUUAAUGUUAUUGUUUUGAUGUACAUUAUUAAGUUACAAAGUUUUAUUAUAUCAAAAAAGGAAAAUUAUUUUGUUUAAAAUUAUAUAAUUUAUUUUAUCAAAAAAAUAUAUUUAAUUUAUCAAUUAAUUUAUCUAAGAUUUUUAUGUACAUUUUUAUUUUACAACGUAUAUUUUGUGUAUAUGUUAUAAGAGAUAAAUGAGCUGGUGAGACAUAAGAUAUAUUUAGUAUAUAUUUGUAGGGUUGUUAAUAAUUUUUAUUAGUGUUUUUGUACAUGAUCCAGAUCCGUGGUCAAACAGGUAGAUUCAGUGAUCUAUAUAUAAUCCGGUUCGGAUUUAGUUAAAAUGUGAUAAGUAAAAAUCUGAUAAAAUUUGGUAAAAACUCAAAAGCUCAUCAUUAAUACGCGAUGUGAUAAUAGUUGACCCGAUAAAAACCUAUAUAAAUCUUAUGAUAUAUAUUUAAAAAAAUGAUAUACUUUUUAAUAGUAUAUAAAUUUGAAUAAACUAUUUGAUUUGCGAUUCUUUAAUCUAUACUAAUUUGAAUAAACUAGUAAUAUAUGAAUCCGGAGAAGCAGGAGAUGCCGGCUCUAAUUUCGAAUCUCCCGAAGAUAUGGAAACUGGAAGAGAGGGUUGUUGGUACGGAUUUGGGGUUUGGGAAGUUCCAGUUUGAUUUCGAAACGGUGGAAGAUAUGGAAGGGGUUCUCAAGAAUCAACCUUUUCAUUUUGAUUACUGGAUGUUGGCUUUGGCGCGGUGGCAACCAAAAAAGUCCCUGCUCUAUCCAUCGGAAAUACCUUUUUGGGUUCGAAUCAUUGGAGUCCCGGUGGAGUUCAAAACGGAAGCCACUUUUGAGAGCAUUGGAGACGCCAUAGGAAGAACGGUGACCGUAGAUUUGGAUCACUCUCGAGUGCAAGUGGUGGUUGAUGCGUUUAAAGAAUUGUGCUUUGAAACCACGAUAGAUUUCAAUGGUGGGGAGUUCUAUGAUGGUGAGGAAGCUCCGGUAUCACUGCGGUAUGAGAAGCUGUUUGGAUAUUGUCAAGUGUGCGGGAGUCUUUGCCACAAGGACGACGUCUGUCCCCUAGAUGUGAAGAACACUAAGAAGAGUCCAGAAAAGAAACGUGAGGGAAGAGAAGGUAAUGGGGUUUGGCAUGAUGGAGCGAAGUACGAUGAUCGUGCAAGGAGUUAUAAAGGUGUAGUCAUUAAUGGAAAUGCGAAUCAACAGCAAAAAGAAAGAGAGGGCCGUGAGUAUUAUGGCAAAGGUAAAGGCAAAAUGGGGGAAGAAACCGAUUCAAAAUGGAUGAAGGUGCCAGAGAGAGGAAAUAAGAGAGCCAACAACAACCGUGGAACUUAUAGAGGAGAUGGGGAGGCUUCUCGAUACAGACCUGCCAGGCGAGAGGACUCAAGGUCUGGUGUUCAGAGUGGGCAUCUUCGACACUCUUCAGAACAGACUAAGCAACCGUUUCAACAAGAGGUUCGUGAGGAAGUUCGAGAGGAGGGUGAGAUUAGGUCCGUUGCGGAGGCUCGCAUAAUGCCACCCUCUCAGGCGUUUCAAGUGGAACUGGCCAAUACUCAGGCUGAGGGAACAACAGUCAUCUCGGAUCCUACUGACGUGGACCGUGGAUUGGCAGAGGUACAUGGUAUGCAGGAGGAUCAAGUUGACUUAGAAGAUGAGGAUGUGAUGGACAUGGAUGAGAUUAAGGCUCAUCUACUUGAGAAUGGGAUUGAUAUGGAUGCAGAGGAUUUUUUAGAAGAGACAGCAGAGGAAGAAACUGAGGAAGUGAUCAAGGAACAGGCAGAAGAUAACAAUGCUCAUGUUACAGAUGGGGGGACUGUGGAAGAGGAGCAAGGCCCGGUUGCUGGAAAUGCGGAGAAGAAACCAGGACUACGUAAGAGGCUGUUCAAGGCAUCGACCGGUACUGCGGGUAGUAGUAAAUUGAGAGCAUUUAAUGCGCUUGCGUCCCCACGCAAGCGAGCUGCAGCGAAGCCAGGAGUGCGUCCGGGAGAUACCAUCAAGCAAGCGGAGAGUAAGGGUGCUUCAAACCUGAAACUUGGGACACAGAAGAUUUGAUUUAUGGUUAGUAGAUGUUCUAAAGGUUUCUCAAGCAGGCUGGGCUUGUCUUAUGUUUUACUUUGUUUUCUGGUUUUAAUAAGCUCUAUGAGCAAGUGCGUUUUCUCUGUUUCGAAGUGUUGUAAGAGACUGGUUUUAUUUGUGGUUUCCUUGGGGGAGAAGCAACGAUUUAAUACAACAGUCUUUUGUUAUUGGCUUUGUAAUCGUAUUGGCUAUUUUGAUGGAUAUUGGAUUAGAAUAGAGUUCGUUGGGUUGGAAUGGAAGCAGUUAAGUAGUAGUUUUAUGGGUGAAUGGUGUUUAAUAAGUCUAUCAAAUAAUCGGAAAUGGCUGGUGAGGUUGUUAGUUUGUCAAUGGUGGCGCUUGAAGUUAGGGAUUUUAGAUUGCGUUUCUUUGGCAUUGGAAAUUUUGAAUCAGGUACAAGUUGGAUGGAGAGGAUCGUAUUAUGAAGCACAUGUCAAGCGAAUUGAUGGUUCUUUUUCAAACCAAGAAGAAAGCGGGUUUGGUUUUUUUGGUGAAAGGAAAAUUUUUCACGUGGGGGUAGAUGGCUUUGCAUAUAUAUUGCAUGUCUUUGGUGGAUCGAAAAGUUAUAGUUUUUAUUUUAUUUAUGGAAGCAGAGUUAUAUCAUUAUGGAGGCUACGUGGUAGAAUUUGGAUUAUGUUAGCGGUCUCUUUCCCGAUCAUUAUGGAAUGGUCCAGACCACAACGAACGGUUAACAAUUGGAGUGUGGAAAUCGGGUAUCAUUACACCCAUAGACUCAGCUCUCAAGAGCAAUUUAAAAUGUUUUUUAAAUGCGGGUUUUAAGUUGGAAUUGUCGAGGAAUGGGAAGUAAGUGGACGCUAAGCUAUUUAAAGGAGAUAAGGUAUAAACAUAAACCGGAUUUUUUGUUUUUAUCAGAGACAAAGCAAGAUUCAGAGUUUGUCCAAAAAUGGCAAGCUCAUUUGGGGUUUGAUAAUAUCGUUACUAUAGACCCGGUGGGGAGAAGUGGAGGAUUAGCGCUUUUCUAUAAUAAUGAGUAUCAAGUUAAGGUAUUAUUCUCUAGUAAUCGAAUGAUAGAUGUGGAAGCGGAAGCCCUGGGUAAAACGGUCUAUCUUACCUUUGUAUAUGGGGAUCCAGUUCAAAAAUUGCGAGAACAGGUAUGGGAACGGUUAACUAGGUAUGGACUGGCGAGAUCCGAUCCCUGGUUUAUUAUUGGAGAUCUUAAUGAGAUUACUGGUAAUCAUGAAAAAGAUGGUGGGGCUAUUAGGAGUGCAGAUUCUUUUAUUCCUUUCAAUAAUAUGAUAAGAAAUAGUGGUCUGCUAGAAUUUCCAGCUAGGGGAAAUAAAAUGUCAUGGCAAGGGAGAAGAGGAAAAGGGAAAGGGGCUGUGUUGGUUCGAUGUCGGUUGGACCGUGCGCUAGCAAAUGAAGAAUGGCAUACCCUAUUCCCGUGUUCUUUUACAGAGUAUCUUGGGAUGGUGGCCUCUGAUCACCGUCCUGUGGUAGCUUAUAUGGAAGAUAAAGUUCCCAAACGGAGAGGACAGUUUCGGUUUGAUAAAAGGUGGAUUGGGCAAGAAGGUCUCUUAGAAUCAAUCUCCAUGGGUUGGAUAGAUUCUAAUGAGGAGCGGGCAGGAGGGGGCGCCGCAGGUAUAGUGGCAAAAAUUAGUAAUUGUCGACAUGAAAUUGCUAGAUGGCGGAAAAAUAAUCCACCUUAUGGAAAGGAAAAAAUAAAUGAACUGCAACAGGCACUUGAAGAGGUGCAAACAGAUAACUCUAGGUCACAAGAGGAUAUUCUGGAAGUGUCGAGGAAGUUACAAGAAGCAUAUAAGGAUGAAGAAGAUUAUUGGCACCAAAAAAGCAGGAACAUGUGGUAUUCAUCUGGGGAUCUUAAUACGAAAUUUUAUCAUGCUUUAACUAGGCAGCGGAGAGUUCGCAAUAGAAUUGUUGGAUUACACGAUGCUAAUGGGAAUUGGAUUACAGAUGAUAAUGGUGUGGAGAAGGUGGCCGUGGACUAUUUUGAGGAUUUAUUUACUACUACUUCCCCAGCGGAGUUUGACAGUUUUUUGGCAGAGAUUACACCGAGCAUUACUUCCCAGAUGAAUCAACGUCUGGUGAGGUUAGCGACGGAGGAAGAGGUUAAAGAGGCUUUGUUUAUGAUGCAUCCAGAAAAGGCACCAGGGCCGGAUGGCAUGACAGCACUUUUUUUUCAACAUUCUUGGCAUCUUAUAAAGAAUGAUUUGGUAGAAAUGGUUAACCAUUUCUUGGUUUCGGGGACUUUGGAUGCACGUUUAAAUAUUACCAAUAUUUGUAUGAUACCAAAAACGGAGAGACCUACACGGAUGACGGAAUUGAGGCCAAUCAGUCUUUGUAAUGUUGGAUAUAAAAUCAUCUCAAAAGUCUUGUGUCAGCGCUUAAAAAGCUGUCUUCCUUCACUUAUUUCCGAAACUCAAUCGGCAUUUGUGGCGGGAAGAUUGAUAUCUGAUAAUAUUCUUAUUGCACAGGAAAUGUUUCACGGAUUGAGAACCAACAAGGCUUGUAAAGGAAAGUAUAUGGCAAUUAAAACGGAUAUGAGUAAAGCAUAUGAUAGGGUGGAAUGGGGUUUUAUUGAGGUUUUAUUGGAAAAAAUGGGGUUUGAUCUUCACUGGAUUAAGUUGAUGAUGGAAUGUAUUUCUUCGGUUCAAUAUAGGGUUCUUAUCAAUGGUCAACCACGUGGCCUUAUUGUGCCACAUAGGGGCUUACGUCAAGGAGAUCCAUUAUCACCUUAUUUAUUUAUUCUUUGCACUGAGGCUUUAAUUGCAAAUAUAAAAAAGGCGGAGAGAGAACAACAAAUUACAGGAAUGAAGGUAGCUCGGGCUUGUCCAUCGAUUUCUCAUCUGCUUUUUGCGGAUGAUAGUCUUUUCUUUUGUAGAGCCCAAAAAGAAGAGUGUCAAACAAUUCUUAGGAUUCUAAAGGAAUAUGAGGCAGUUUCAGGGCAACUCAUAAAUUUUGAUAAGUCUUCUAUCCAAUUUGGAUAUAAGAUUGAAGAAUCUGUUAGACAGGAGUUAAGGGAUAUCUUGGGUAUUCAGAAUCUUGGAGGAAUGGGAUCAUAUCUUGGCUUACCAGAAAAUCUAGGCGGAUCCAAGAUCCAGGUUUUCAGUUUUGUACAAGAGCGUUUAAAUAAUAGAGUCAAUGGGUGGACUUUCAAGUUUUUCACAAAAGGGGGGAAAGAAGUGGUUAUUAAGUCGGUGGUUACGGCAUUACCAAAUCAUACGAUGUCAUGUUAUCGUUUGCCUAAAGCAACGGUGAAAAAGCUGACAAGUGCGGUAUCACAAUUUUGGUGGAGUCCAGGGGGAAGUACGAAAAAAAAAAGAAAUAUAUAUAUAUAUAUAUAUAUAUAUAUAUAUAUGUAUAAACUAGUCAAAAUAGUAUACAAAUAUUUUGUGUGACCUAAAAUAUACUAAUUUCAAUUCUAAUAAUUUUAUAUUUUAUAAUAUAUAUAUGUAUAAAAAUUUAAUGUUUUAAGGGUGUAUAUAAUGUAUAGGAGUUUAUGAUAUGGGGUUAGAAUUGUUAAAUAAUUUUCAUUCAAUAAUGAAUAGAAUUAAUAUAGUUAUAGAAAAUAAUCAAUUUAUUCACAAUACAAAAAACAUAUCUCAUAAAUCUUUUACAUUUUCAUAAAAAUUCUCUCACAUUGCGUGUCUUUUUUUAAGGCUUCUCACGUUCAUAUGACGCGUAAUUAUUGAAUUUUAUACCAGACAUAAUAAACUCAAGUUAAGAAAAAAAUGGAACGAUUGGUCUAUUCAUGGUUAUAUGAUAUACUAUAUGAUUAUACAUAGCAAUUAAGAAAUUAUCUUUCAUGCCUUUGCGAAUUUGAAUCUAACUACCUAAAUUAUUUUUUUAUGUAAAAUGAAAAAUCCAUUAAAUUUAUCAACUAAUUAGAAUGUCCAGGAGAUUUUUUAGGAAUAUAUGUUAAUUUCUCUAAUAUUAUUUCUAUUUUAAAUUGGCUUAUAUUUUUGAUUAAUUAAAGAAAAUUUGAAAUAAAAUAUGUUUAGUUAUUAAUAAAUAGGUCCAACAACCUUUAUAGUAAAUUAUUAUAAUGAUUAUCUUUUAGUUGUAUAGCUAUUAAUACGAACUAAAUGUAAUAUUGUAUUUUUAAACAAAGUCAAAUAUAUUUAAUUAUAUUUUAGUAUUAUAAUAUUAUAAUUUGAAUAUGUGUAUUAAAAUAUAAAAAAUAUUUAUUAGUUUAAAUAUCUUACUUUAGUAAGUUAAACUAGUUUUAAAAUGGACGAAUAUGUAUUAUUCUGUAUAUCUAAUUAUUUUGAAUUUUAAAAUUUAGAACAUAUUUAAUAAAUGGGUUAAGUAACUUUAUAUUUAUUAAUUAGUCUACCAAUUUCAUUAUGAAUAUGAAUUAUGUAUAAUAAAUAUUAUAGAUUUUAUUUCUUAUUAUAUAUAUCAAAAAUGAAUUAAUAUUCACUUGUAGUGAUAUUUAAUAUUUAUUACGAAUUUUGCAAUUUAAAAGUAAAUAUCAAAAAUAUAAACUAUUAAAAAUAUUAUUAAAUGUAAUCUUAGAAAAAGAUACUAAAAAAUCAUUUAGAUAUCAUAUUUUGAAAAUAUUAAAAAAUAUUAAAUAUGAUAUAUAUUUUAUAAUAACUAAGUUAGUUGGAGGAAAAAUCAUAAGAAAUAAAAUAAACGUAAUAGUCCAACACAUAGACUAUUUUCAAGUAGAUAAAUUGUUCGUCUGGUUUAAUAGUCUCGAUGAUCAGUAAGGUUCAUUCGGAAACGAGUGAGAGGUGUACUUUUAACCUUUAUAGUAUUCCCUAACAGUUUACUAUUGGGUCCUAAAAAGUAGCCAAAAGAUUAAAUCAUCGAAGAUAAAAUAAAUUUCUAUAUUAAAAUAUUGGAACCUCUUCAUUUAUAUUUUAUAUUGAUCCAAGCUCAUAUCGAUGUUAAACCUAUACUCUUUCCUGGUUAAAUGUUUAUCUAAGGAAGGUUCUAUUGUAUUGACCAGUAAAAUAAACAAUUAAUCGACAAUCAAUUUGAUUAUUUUCUUCACAUGUUGACAAAUUCAAGAAUUUUAGUAAUCUACAUACAUAUGCACAUGCUACAAAAAUAACAUACAUAUGCACAUAUUUGUAUAUAAGAUUCUUAUGCGGUAUAUUAUACAUAUUAUAUAGCUCGAAACCAUGAUUUAAUAACUAUUUAUUCUUUACGCAAAAAAGUAAAUUUAUUUUUAUGUGUUUACGUUAGGAAAACCAAAAAGAAGAUGAGAUGGCCUACGCUACAAGACCAAUUCAUCGUGGUCUUUAGCUGGAGUGUUACUUUGAUAUUUCACGGCGGAGAAUUAGACGAAGAGUAUCUAAUAUAUAAAGAGAUGUCCAAUUCUAAUUAUUACGAGACUUUUUGUGAAUAAAUCCAAAAGUAAAUCCAUACAGACCAAUUUCUUAAGCCCAAAAUGGACAUUAUCGUACUAAUCAGAUAAUAUAGAGUCGGACAUGAACUUUAAGAAUCCCAACAAUCGGUAUCAUAGCCAGGUUGACAAGAAAUCUUCAAGAAAACCGAAAUACCCUUCAAAAGAUGAAUGGUAUCCUAUGAGUUAGGAAUGAGAUGUGUCUGGUAGAGAUCAAGUUCAGUUGUGGAACACGAGAUGAGUGUGGUCAUCACUUUGAGAGGAAGAAUGUGAAAUAUCAAACUAAGUCUCACAUAGAAAAUUAGACAAAAAAUGUCUAAUAUAUAAAGAGAUGUCCAACUAUAAUUAGUACGAAGCCUUUUGGAAAAUAAACCAAAAGUAAAACCAUGCAGGCUUGUCUAAGGUCCAAAGUGGACAAUAUCGUACUAAUCAAACAAUAAAGAGUUGGACAUGAAUUUAAUAAAUCCCAACAUUGGUAUCAGAGCCAGGUUGACGAGAAAUCUGCAAGAAGACCGAAAUACCAUUCGAAAGAUGAAUGAUAUCCUAUGAAUUAGGAAUGAGAAGUGAUUGGUAGAGAUCAAGUUAGAAGAUCUUGGAAAUUCAAUUGUGGAACACUAGAUGAGUGUGGUUCUUAGUUUGUGGGGAAGAAUGUGAAAUAUCAAACUAAGUCUCACAUUGGAGAAUCAGACAAACAAUGUCUAAUAUAUAAAGAGAUGUUCAACUCUAAUUAGUACGAGGUUUUUUGUGAAUGAACCCAAAAAUAAAUCCAUGCGAACCAACCUUUUAGGUCUAAAAUAGAUAAUAUCGUACUAGUCGGAUAAUAUAGAGUUGGACAUGGGCUUUAAAAACCCCAACAUUCAUGUAAGUGGUGUUGAAAUCUGAACAUUGUUUAAACCCUUUAGCUUCAAAGUUUAAAACUUUAUUUACCUUUUCAGUGAUAUUUUUCUUAUAAAGCAUAGAAACAAUGUGAAAGAACUCGAUCGUGACUUUAUUUCUCCAACUGCUUUGACUUUUAAAAAGCCUUUGUUUCCAAUCUCAACUCCAGUCAACCUUUUUGUCCGUCUAGAAACACAUGACUGCACUCUUAUUUUUACUAUUAACUGAAUGAGAUCAAUGUAUAAAUAAUUAAAAUACAGAAGUUUUUUGUUUGAACUAAAAAUACAGAAGUCAAAGAAGAUUAUAGUGUACUUUUAUAGUUCUAGUAAAAAUGCAAGACUUAAAGGUUUUCAAUCAAAUUGGACGUAAAAAUAGUAAUAACCAGAUUCAAUGGUUAUCAGAGAUUUUCGCUCAUAAAAACAUCGAUAUCAAAUAAAAAUUAAAUUCAUCUACAGUAAAAAAUUUGUACAUUAAUAAUGAUAGAAAUAUAAUAUUUAUUCAUUUAUAAAGUUAUUAAUUUAUAAAAAAAUCUUUUUCAGAUUUAUAUAUUUUGAAAUAUAGAUAUGUGUAAAAUAGAAAGAAUAAUUGAUCUUUUACAUAUAUAGAUAUAUAUUGAUGAAAUUUUACAUAUUUAAAUUUCAUGUUAUUUUUAAUUAUUUGAUUAUUUGGUGUAUACAAAUUUUAUAGAUACACAUAGUUGUGCUAUAAAAUUCAAACACCACAGAUGUAUCUCACCUACAACCACACUAUCCACCAAGCGAUAAACACUCCCAUUUGUCGUAUUUCCUUUCAUUACAACCAGAUCUCCGUUAAACAUUUUUAAAACAUCAUCUUCUAAUCUGAUUCUUCUUUCUGUUGGAACAUGCAUAACAUCAGUCAAUGUUCUAAUGGUACCAUCAUGCACGCGGAAGCUAACAUGAUCUGAUGCUCAGUAUCAAUGACGUUACAAGCCAUAUUGUUAGCCAACUGAAAUGAACUCAUUUUCCAGCUCUGUACGCCUCAGACCAUCCAUCCUUCAUAAAGAGCCAUAUGAAAUGAUGCAUUCAUAUCUAGAAUCAAAGAAUUUGUAUGUAUUCGUUAUAUAACAUCAAGUAAAUCGUUUUCAGUAUCUUCUUCAAAAACUUUAUGACCACGUUUGCAUAACAUAUAUAUUUCACAUGCGCUAUGUUUCCUAGCAGGAUGAUCUCGCUUGUAGUGGUCUUUCUUGCCAUAACCAAAACACAUUUUAUUGUUUAGGUUUCGACUUGUCUUCGCUACCAACUUGCUUCUUUUUUAGGUUUCCCUUUGACGAAUUCCAUUUACAUAAAACUCAUCUCCAUGAGACUUGUCAACCACAAUAGUAUUAUGUCGGUAUUAUAACGAGAUUAUAGUGUAGAAUACACUGAUCUAAUGUAAAUGCAAUAACUAACCCACAAAGUAAAGCACAUAGUACACCAGAGAAUAUCUCUCUACAAAGAUAUGUGUUAUUACUAGUAUUCUUUUAAAGCGAACUUACAAGUCUCUCCUUAAACAGAACUCAAACAAGAUCAAGACUCUUCUUGACUUGCUCCCCUAGCCUCACACGUCCUAAGAUCGAAUACAAGAUCUCUGGAACCUCUACCCCUUAGCCCUUAGUGUUAUUCACUCACUUACAAGCUUAGCGAACUCCACUCUUAUGCUAAGAAUACAAUUCUCUCGACAACCCUAAUCCACAGGUCGAAUAUGACUAUAUAUACAAUACAGCCAAGUCGGCUAUCCACGCCUAUCUACCCAAUAUUCACUAUCUACCCAAAUAAGGCAAGUUCCCUAAAACCUCUCCAAAGCCUUUUAGAAAACUUCUCAUCGUGAGAUCUCCCUUCUCCAAGGUGAAUCUCUUCAAGCUUGCUCCCCAAGACAUCUUCGUAUUAACUUCGCCUUGGUCCACAAUCCAUUCUUCAAGUCGCAAUCUUCAUCUUGACUUGUUCAUCCGCACGUACACUUCGCUGUUGCAGACUCUGCUCCAUUCGUUGUUGUACUUGCGUCUGUAUCAGAACGUCCAUCUGAUCUUUGCAUCUACAAUCUCCCCCUUUUAGCUUUGGAUGCCUCUCAAGUACCUUCACAGAUCCGCUCAAACAACCACACACAUUCGAACACAUAUAUCCUGAAUAAUACGUGCGAGUUCAAGAGUUCAAAACAUGCGAGUUCAAGAGUUAGAGAUAAACAUAAAACCAAAAACCAAAACACCAGCAACAUUGUUUUAUCUCUCACUCCCCCAUAAUUAGAUAAACUGAGAAAAAACUAAAAUUUUCUCCCCCAUAAUCUAGUUCUCCUGGUCAUCCUACUGCUGCGGAUCGUCUGCCUCUUCUUCUCCCCCUGCUUGAGAGCAUACGGAGUUAAAAUUCAUAAAGAUCAGAGCAAAUAAAGAACCAGAUAGAAGACUUACUUGGGAACAUCAUGCUUGCAAUCUGUCCCACGACGCUCGUCAGAGUCUGCAUCGCAGUUGCAAGAUGUUGAAUUGCUGCGGAUGUCGUAUCUAGAGCCAGCUUUGCCUCUUCAGCAUCUAUCGGUUUUCCUGGAGCUACAAUGGAUCCGAGGUGAAUGAUCUGGAACUUUCCAGCAGACCGCGGAGACUGUCUUGGUGGCACAUAUCCAGAAGGAUCAGUUCUUUCAGGACGAGGAGUGCUUGGAGGUGGUCUAGAAAGAGGUGCUGAAGUUGAUGUUGAUGCAGAUUUUCCUUUCUUUUUGGCCUGCCUCUGAGCCUUCUUCUCAGCCUCUCGUGCUUCCUUUUGAUUCUUGAGAUAUUAUUCUCCCAGACGAGGGUCCUUCUUAUAUGGAAUCACAUGCACAAGUUUCUCUCUUGGUUUUCGCUGCACCAUGUGCUACAUUUGAAGCACACCAUAGAUGGUACGUGGAAAUAUCAACCACCUCAUGUCCUUCUUUUCUCCAUCUUUUUGAAUGACUCCGAGAUUAAGAACUUGAUUGUAGACCAACACUUCUAUGUCAACACGGACUCCAUGAAACAUCUUAUAGACGAGUUUCGCAUGAUCGAUGGACACCGCAUUCUUGUUAGACGAAGGUACCCAGUUGUAUGCUGCAAGAACCAGUAGCGCAGCUUUACACGGAGACAAGGAGCUUGUCGUGAGGUUUUUCAUCUCCCGUGUUCCCUCGGUCAGGAAGUCAGCAAGCUCAUCACUAUUGACUUCAUCCAUGGUUGCCUCCACUUCUACCUCCUCUCCUUCAAGUGGUGAUACAUCGAAGUAUUGAUCAAUCAUAGUCGGAGAGAAUUCAUACUUCUGCCCUCGUACUGUUACUAUGACUUCUGAUCCUCUGGUCGCAGGGCUGCAUAUAAUUCCUUCACGAUCUCUGGAAUGUAGCCUCCUAGGCCCGUGACAGUCUUCUCAAGUCUCCCUUUCUUGAUUAUACUCAGAUAGCCCCAUCUGUCUUCUGAGUUUAGAUCCACUUAACGUUAUGGAAUAAUCUCUCUAGAGGCAAAACUUGCAUACCUUUGCUUUGCGAGACGUUCUGCACUAGUUGAUCCUCUAUUGAUUUUCUCAGAUGAUGCUGCACCUGAAGUUGUUUUAGCCUUCGCUUGAGAUUUGAUUCCUGAGGCAAAGGUUUUCCUGGUCAAUUUUCUCACAGGAUUGCUCUGGGUUGCUGAUGAUGGAGCUUUCCUCUUUUUCUCUUUCUCCUUAACACUGAUUGGUGGUUCCACGUUUUCAGCAUCAACUUCCUCAACUUCGUCUGAGUCAGUGUUCUCCGCAUCUUCUUCUUCCUCAGAUUCACCUGAAGAGACUUCGAUCGCUUUUCCUCAAUUUUCUUUGCAAGCCUUAGUUGCACCAUCUUCCUCUGGGAUCCCUUCGGAGGAUUGUUUGCUUCUUCCCUCCUUCACAUUCUUCUUCUUCCUUGUUGAUCCCACAGGUUCUGACUCAGCAUCUGACUCAAAAUCCAGUUGUUCAGCUGCAGUAUGAAGAUCUUCGGACAUGGGUUGAGAUGUCUGGCUUUGUUGUGGCGUCGUUUGUUACUCAUCAUCAGAGUACUCCACGAGAUUCAAUGGUGGGUUUGAAGCUUUACCGGCGGCAGAGGUGCUUUUGUUCAUCGACAUGAUUUCGUGAGAGAGAGAGAGAGCUUUCUUUCUUCUGAGAUUUUUUAUCUUUGAGAGCAAAGAGAAUUGUAAGAGAGAUAAGUUGGCGUCUAGGGUUUAUCAAGGAGUAAUCAUUUCCUUUUUGGUGCAUUACCCCAUGAUCUCCUAGAUAUUCGCCAUAUCUCCCACUCUCUCUAAAAUGGAAGUUUUUCAAAUUUCAAAAAUUUGAAAUCUUCCAUUUAGGCUCACACGAUCUUUCUUUCCUUUCCACUGAUGUCGACACGUAUUGCCCACUCAAGACUUGAUUAAGCUGAAUCUUCACUGUUCCACUAUGGCACAAGAUGACAUAGACUGGUAACAUUUACUCAAUGAUUUUUGCUGACACAACCACUUAGACAAAAUAACAUUUAUUACAUUAAACACGCAAGCAAUGAGAGAACAGGUGUCACACAUGUUAAUUUUCAAUUCUUUAAGUACAAAAGGAUUUUUUUUUACCUUUUCCCGUUGACAACUGUUCGUCGAGUGAUGCAGAGGCUGACAUAGCUUCUGCUACAGAUGCACCCUUCUGCUCUACUAAAUCAUCAUUUGAUCAUCAGGCUUAUUUCAUGUCUAGCUUUCGCACAAAUAUGACUUUAUCAUGUCAUGGCUCAGUUUUCAACCUUUAUUCGUCAUGAGAGAGCUGAGGGUUGUUACUUCUUUUCUAAGAGUUUUCUUGUGCUCCCUUUUUGAUGAUGGGAAACACAAAACAUCUUCUUCCCCUUGUUACUUGAUUGCUCUCUCGAUGCGAAACCUGUACUUUUUGAGAUCAUGACGGCAUAUUUGGCAGCUCAUUUCCACUACUUGCUUCUGAUGUAAGACACAAUCUGAACAUUGGGCGCCUCUGCAUCAUCCCUUUCCUCAUCCCCUAUACACUUACACAAACUUGUUACAUCUCACAAACCCCAAUGGAGUUUCGAAGAGUAACAAAACGGUUAAGAUCUAAAGGUUUAGUGAAAAGAUCAGCUAGUUGUAAUUCUGUGACAACGUGUUCAAUCACUACAUGUUGUUCAUCGACUAGUUCCCUGAUGAAGUGAUGUCGAAUGUCAAUGUGCUUGGUCCUUGAGUGUUGCAUUGGGUUCUUUGAUAUGUCGAUUGCACUCUUGUUGUCACAAUAAACCAGGAAUGAUCAUGUAUCCAUGCCAUAGUCAUCAGACAUUUGCUUCAUCCACAUCAGCUGCGUGCAGCAACUCCCCAUAACAAUGUAUUAUGCCUCUGCGGUAGACAAUGAUACAGUGUUCUGCUUCUUGCUCAACUAUGCAACCAUGUUGUUUCCGAGAAAGAAACACCCCCCACUGGUACUCUUCCGAUCGUCUACACAAGAAACCCCCCCCACUGGUACUCCUCCGAUCGUCUGCACUUCCAGCCAUGUCUGCAUCACAGUAUCCAGCAAGAUUUCCAUUUGAUCCCUUUGAGUAGUAGAUCCCAAGGUUAACCGUGCCUUUGACAUAUCGAAUGAUUCUCUUAGUUGCCUCCAGAUGAGACUUCUUUGGUUUUGCUUGAUAUCUAGCACAUAUCCCCACACUUAGACUUAGAUCUGGUCGACUCGCCGCCAGGUAGAGUAAGCUUCCGAUCAUUCCUCUAUACAGCUUCGUGUCAACUGGUUCACUUUCCUCAUCUUUGCAGCUUUUGUUUGUAGAGCUCAUCGGAGUUUUUGCCUCCUUGUAGUGAUCUAGUUGAAAUCUUUUCAGUAGUGCUUUUGCAUAGGUACUUUGCGAGAUGAACACACCUUCCUCUGUCUGCUAUAUUUGUAACCCGAGGAAAUAUUUCAACUCCCCCACCAUGCUCAUUUCAAACUCUUUGGUCAUAUCUCGAGUGAAACCAUCUACAAGUUGUUUAGAUGUUCCUCCAAAAAUAAUGUCGUCAACAUAGAUCUGAACCACCAGCAUCCCUGUUUUAUUCUUCAGCACAAACAGUGUUUUGUCGACACUUCCUCUGAUGUAGCCUUUGUCAACCGGAAAGUUUGUCAGCCUUUCAUACCAUGCUUGAGGUGCUUGCUUCAACCCGUAUAGAGCUUUGUUGAGUUUGUACACAUACUCAUGAUUAGUUGCAUCUUCAAAACCCUUUGGCUGAUGCACAUAUACUUCUUCAGAUAGUACCCCAUUCAGAAAUGCACUCUUAACAUCCAUUUGGUACACUGUGAAGUUCAUGAUGCACGCUAUUCCAAUGAACAGUCCGAUAGAUUCCAAUCUAGCCACUGGAGCAAAUGUUUUUCUCAAAAUCAUCUCCCUCGAUUUGUGAAUACCACUGAGACACUAAUCUUGCUUUGUUUAUGACCACAAUUCCAUUCUCAUCAAUCUUGGUCUUGAAGAUCCACUUAGUCCCAACUAUGUGUCCAUCAGAUGGCUUUUUCACCAACUCUUAUACAUCAUUUAUGAUGAACUGUUCCAGUUCCUCCUGCAUGGCUUGGAUCCAAAACUCAUCCGAAAGUGCUUUGGUGUGGUCUUUCGGCUCAAUAUUUGAGACAAAGAAUGCUGACUGAACCAUUUCUCUGAAGUUGAUCGUCACACCUCUUGUUCUUCUCCUUCAUUCACGUUCCCAAUAACAUCACUAGAUGAGUGAUUUCUGUGAACAUUUGGAGUGCUCUUCUCCUGAGUCAACUCUGAAGGUGUUGAUGUGUCGUUCGUUGAUUCAGUUGAUGGAUCCUUUGAUGCAUCCGAUGGUGUAUCCGUCUUCUGUUCCUCAUCGUUUUCCCAUUUCACUGCUGUGACAUCAUCGAACACGACAUUUACCGACUCCAUGAUCAUCAGAGACCUCAAGUUGUAGACUCUGAAUGCUGUGAUGUUCGCUGAGUAACCUAAGAACAUGCAUUCGUUGCUUCUUGCAUCAAACUUGCCAAUGUGCUCUUUGUCAUUCAUAAUGUAACACUUACACCCAAAAAUGUGAAAGUAGCUGAGAUUUGGUGUUUUGCCUUUCCAUAUACAUGAUUUAUGAUGUAGCAUGCGGUGCUAAUAGACUCCGCCCAGAACCCCU
rnacentral:lncRNA from 1 species